GAAAAAAUAAAAUUAAAUUGAUCUAAUUUAGUUUGUGAAAAUUAAAAUUAAAUAAAAAUAUAUAAAAUUUUUCUGAACUAUAGAUCAUUUUGAUUUGACUGUCCAGCUUUUCAAAAUUUUAAUUUUAUAUUCCUAUUAUUUUAAUUUGUUGAUUUAAGUGAUUUGAUUGCUAUUUGAAUAUAAAAUUUAAUCUAGUUGCUUACUUCAAUAAAUUUACAUUUAUGUAAAUUGCAUAAACUAUACUAAUGAAUCCCACGAAGAUAAAUAACGUACUCAAAUUUUGAAGUUAAAGAGUAACUAAUUAAAUAAAAUCAAAUAAAUUAAAGGCAUGUUUGUUUCAUGAUUGAUAUAGGAAUGAGAAAUGAAAUUGAAUUUCAUUGGAAUGAAAAAUAAAAUAACGAAUUAAAUAAAAUAUUUAGUUCAUUAUUGGAAUGAAAAUCAAAUGAAAAUCUAGGAUUUUGAGGGAGCGUUUUGGUUGAGAGAGGGGAGUGAUGAAGGGAGAGAAGGAGAAGGUGUUUCUAGUAGACAGUUUUAAAUCGUUUACUUUGGAAUGGGCCAAUCCUGAUUUCAAAAUCAGAUUUGGCCUUAAAUUGAUUUAGCCAUUUCUAUUUCAAAGUAGAAUGAGAAUUGAAAUCCAACUCUUAUAAAACAAACAGCAACUAUCGGAAUCAAUAAAUUUCAUUAUAAUUUCAUAGUCUAAAAUAGAUGAAUCAAAUAAGUCCUAAAAGAUUAGAUAGUAAAAUCAAAAUUUUUAAAGUUUAGAUACUCAAAUUCAAAUGGGUAAUAAUUGAAGUAAGUUUUACAUAUUUUUAUCUAAAAGAUAAAACUAAACUAAUGGUUUGGAAAAUUAAAAUGAACGAACAAAAAUUAUCAGUUUGGUUUGCCAGUUCGAACAUUUAAAUUUUCGAAGAUAGUUUUAUAUAGCUUAUUGGGUUUUUUUUAUUUUUAAUUUAUUAUGUUGAUUUUUAGAAUUAAUUGUAAUAUCCCGGACGAUCCGCAACCACCGAUGAUGAAAUUUCUCUGAGGUCGGAUGGCGGUGAGGAUGAUGGGUGCUUCCGGCAACGGCUCCGAAGUAAUCGAGGUAAGAAAAAAGAAGGGAAAAGAAGGGGAAGUAGAGAUAUAGAGAGAGAUACAAAGAGAUAAGGGGUGGGGAUUAGAAAUAGAGAGUGGGAUAAGAAUUUGGGAUAGAGAUUAGAGAUAGAGAGAGAGGAGGAUUGGGAAGAGAAAUAGUAGAGAAGAAGAAGGGUUUGGAGAAGAACUUUUGGGGAAGAAAAUAGGCUAAUUCAUUUCAUUGAUGCCUUGCAAUUACAUCCUGUUAACUAUAUAUAUCCUAUACAACUUUUACUGAAAUGUAAUUAAAUUAUUCUACGAGGGCAUUGUUGCAAAAAUGGUAAAUAGAGGUGUGGGCCAGGUGGACUCCUAUUCUGUGGUAGUUGGACCUCUUGCUGGGCUUCACCGGUCCAGACCACAGCUAACGGGUCGGGUGGAGGAUCUCGGGUCGCCCUUCUGUCCGCUCCGCCAACUGCGGGUAGUGGGCUUGCCUUUUGCCGCCGCUCCGAACAGUCGAUCCUCCGACCCGCAACGCCUCAUUCUUCUCCCAAUUGCUUAGAUUCGGUCGGAUCUACUUCCUAUCUCCUCAAUCUCCCUUCUCUUCCUUAGAACGCCAUGGAUGACCUAGCUCCGCCACUUCGCCGGAGUUCCACCCGAGCGCCCUCACGCCACCGGAGUUCCACCAAGCUCGCACCUUCCUCAACCUGCUGCAGCCCUUAUUUCCGUUCCACUAUGCAAAGUUAACAUUUUUACUAACCUCCUCUGUUGCUACUACUUCUACUAUUUAUUUUAGGUCGUUACAUUAAUUUGGCGUGUCACUGAUAGCUUUGUAUAAAUAUUGAUGCAUAUAUAUACAUAACUACAUAUAUAAUAUACAUAAGUGUAUAAAUGUAUGCUUGCACGCACACACACAUAUAUAAUUUACAUAAAUUUUUAUAUAAGUGUAAAUCCAAAUCCGGAAGACCAAAAAUCAAGAUCUACACCAUUAAAUGUGAUCAAGAACAUCUAAGAUGCAUACUCAUAAAGUAUCAUAAAUUUUAAAAACUGAUUUCCUAUGCAUCAAAUGGGGUUAAUUUCAACAAUCCACAAUUUUCAAAAAAGCUCAAUUUUGAAAAUUCAAGAUAUAGAUUUUAAAAAUUAUGACUCUUUAUAUGUACGGCUAUUUUAUGUUGUAAAUCAAUUUCGACAAUUUAGAUAUUCAUUUUGAAAUAUUUGUGAUUGAAUUUUAGCUAGUGUAUGAAGCAUGUAACGUAAAAAUAUGUAACUCCGUAUAUUUAUGUAUAUAUAUUAGGGUUGGGAGUCAGAAAAUUAAUCCGGAUGCCUACAAAACCAGUUCGAAAUAUUUCAGUGCCCAAAUCCCUAUUCCGAGCGUCCAAAAAGUUUGAAACCCAGACUUUGCUUCUUUUGGACUUCCUGUUUGAUCUAAAUUAAUUUUAAUUUAAUCCAUACUCAGUCUAAACUCUUUUAUUUAAACUUACUUUAAUCAUGUCCAAUAUGUCUUAGUCCUUACUUUGUCAAUUAACCAAAGUUCAGUAUCUUAUAUCUUUUCCUUCUCAAAAGGAGUUUCGUCUAUAAAACAAAAUAUUUUAUACCUCAAUCCAAUUUUCCCAAAUAGACAAGGAAAAUGCUUUCGCUUGUGUUCUUGAGCUCCCAAAGGCUCAGUGUAAGAGGAUGCCGACAUGCUACUAGGCGUACACGUCCUAAUUCUCAAAUCGCUCAGUUUGUUGAGGGUUCAUCUAACCGAAUGUCAACCCCAUAACUUUACUUGUCAACGACACUUAAUAGGAGACAUGAUCUCCUAUUUGAAUUUUUAAUUCACGCCACUACUAUUUCAAAUAGUUCUAUGUAGGACUUGUACCAUCACUUAUUUGCUUGCAGGCGAAGCGAACAAUUUCCCCCGGCUACUGUACUAUGUCCGGACCAAAGGUGGAUUUCCUCACCAACAUCGUUCCGAUGCAAAUGACAUGACAUUUUCUCCUUAAAAGCCCCCCAUAGAGUAUCAUUCCAGUGCUCUUCCAAAUACUACUAUUGUAGGUGAACUCCGUCAAUGACUAGUGUUGGUGCCAUCCACACCCAUAGUCCAACAUUAUUCUACUUAAUUUUGCCCAUUAACUUGGCUCACUCAAGAGUCUACCUCACAUAGUAUGACCCUGCUUCAUACUUAUUACAUAUUUUCGAAUCCGAUAUAGCCGCUUCACUGGCAUUGUUCCCAAGCAAUAGCGUUUUGGGCGCUUCCUUUCAUCAUAAGCGGGUUCUACCAUACGUAUAUCUCCAAGCCCACAAGGAGGUUAUGCACUUUAGCAUGUUCUCGAGUAUUUAUUACCUUCGAAAUUAGCCUCCAACUCAUAUACGAUUCCACUUAACCCAACUUAGCUUCUCAUGUAGGGUACAUUUUGUUGCUCACAAAUGGCACAAGUAGGCACCACUCAUCCUCAUGACGAGCAAGUUGUUAGAUGUAUGCCCUAGAAGCCAACCAGGUCGACACAUAUAUUCUUUCUAGGACAUAAAUUUGUAUUUGACUUUUAAAUAUUAUAAAUAACUUUAGAUUUUUAUUUUCAUUCAUGUUGUGUAUGUGUCCAUGAAUCGUCCAAGGAAUUAAUAAGAUGAUGACAUAUAUUCUCAAGUGUUGAGAAUUUGAGACAUGUGUCAUUGGUGGUUAAUUCCUAAAUGCUCCCGAUCAAAGGAUCAUCACGGGAAUGGUGAUUGAUCCGGUGAGAUUGGUGCAUAGGUAGCUUCCCUUUCUGGGUAGACGAGUCUCGAGUCGACAGUGUGGGGACACUGAAGCGAAUAUGCAGAUGGUUGUUAGAGAAUAAGGGUACCGAGCGUGACCAACGCGAGAAGUCACUUGGAUGUCUACUCACUCGUAAGUGACUUACUCAAUAUUGCAGUAGUGUGACUGGUCCUUUGACCUGCGGUGCCUCGGCUAUUCACAAUGAUGUUACUGUAGUUUGACUGUACAUACACUUGGUCCCUAGCCAUUCGGGUCCUUGCGGUGCAUGUUGGCUGCAGUAGGUUCAUUGUAGGAAUAGGGUGCGCACUUAGAUGGAAUCUAUCUCCCUUGGUAGAUAGGGGUGUUAGUCCUAUGUGAUUUAUGAGACCGAGUUUAGAAGACCUUGGCCAGGGCAGAAUAAAUAGCGGAAAAGGGUUUCCGAUAUUAGAAACUCGAGUCGAAUAAAUUUAACAUAUGACAGACGAUGGGGUUUGACGAGUUAUUCCAUAACCUCCGUCUAGUCGGGACUCAUGAUAGAAGGAUUGUAUCACACGGUAACUGCACCAAGAGGUUCAGUAUUCCAUUCUACUGGAAUGCCACUACAUGCUGCUAGGCGUCACUGGUGGAUUGUGAGACUCAUGAGAAUUAUCUAGAUGAUAAAUAAUUCUCAUUGAACUGAGUUGGAAUUGUUCUGAUCCAUUGAAAGGAGUUUCAGUGAUAUUGUUGAUAGUGAUCAAAAUAUAUCUCACUACCAGAUAGAAUAGAACCUAUGGGGUCACACACAUAAGAGGUUGUGAUUGAUCGGAUAGCUAGAUUGCGAUUAUUGAAUCGCUGAAGGACCUAAUUGUCAAUAUGUUGAUAAUUGGACUAAUUUGUAAUUGCUACAAAUUAGUGGUAUUAAAGUGUAAAUGUUAUAGGAGAGGACUUACUAAUAGUUAGUAAAUUAUAAGAGCGCUUAUGUGCAAUUAUUGCAUUAUUAAUUUGAUAAGAUCAAAUUAAUAUAAAAUUCAAGUCGAAUCAAAUUAGAAUUUGAUCGAUCUAACCAAUUAAGAAAAGGAUAAAUUUAAAUCUAGAUUUAUACUUCUCCUUAAUUGUCAUUAUAUUAUUAGGAAUAGAAUUAUAUUCCUAUAUAUAAUAUAUGGGAGUUUUUAGAAAACCCUAGCCGUCAUCUCUCUUCUCCUCUCCCUUCCAUAUUCUAGCAAGAACGACGUCUUUUGCAAAGGAGCUAGCACCCCGGUGAGGAUAUCGAUCAAAUCAUCAACCUCGUGUGGAUACCUAUAGAAGCCGGACGUGUGUACGGCUUCAAGAGAACCCAAUUCCACGAUCAUCAAGUUGAGGAGAAGAUCUAUCCACGAAAAAGGUAAAGAUUCGAUCUUGUUUUUCUUCUUUAAUCUUAAAGAACAUGAGGGAUCCUAAUUGCGUGGUUUUUGAGAUUGGAUCUCGAGAGUUUUCAAAAUCAAAUUUGUUUGAUUCUUUUUCCGCUGCGUUUUUACCGUACGCAAUUUUCUAACACAAGUAUGAAUGCCAUAUUCGCAAGUCCAAUUUCAUCCUACGGUAACGCUCGACUCUACAGUUCAGUAACCCCACUAAUCAAGAGAACACUUAGGCUAAGCCAUCCCUCAAUUACUUCAUGGUAUUUCAAUGUACGAUUAUCAUUACCCUUGGCUUGCUACCCUUUGUCGUAUUCACCCUGUGUAGUGGUACCUCAUUUCACAUACGAGUUCAGCCAUCCUACGAUGAAAUUGUUAUUACGAUCUUCCAUUCCCUAACAUCAACAAGGAGUAACUAAAACUCUGAUACAUCAGAGACACCAUGGUCGGGUCAUAUCUGAGAGCGUGUUCGGGUCAUUUACACCUCUACCUCAAACGGAACAAUUGCUAUAAUUUGAGUAAUCAAACAUCUAAAUCUAACUCGUCCAACUCGUGGUUUAACUCUGAUGAACAACCAACACUUCCAUCGGCCUCUAGGCACCCGAAAAAAAUACUAGGCCUUCAAGUUGUCCUCGGCCUCCUUCACGCCUAUCCGAAGCGUAAGUGUUACUAUCAACAAACCCUCUUUGGCUGAAUAUUCAAUUCGCGCCCCAUAGGUGCAUUCCAUCGUUGAGCGCACUACGCCUCUAUUCACACCCUUGACCGUUGAGAUCAUUAAGCAAUUAUUCUCCAACACGCAAUACCAUGUAUGUGCGCUUUCUUAUUUCGGGUUGCGGCAUCUCAAGGCUAACUCACCCAAACCUAGUGGUUGUCACGCCAACUCUAUUACAACAAAAUUGCUUCCACUACCACUCCACUGGAGGGCUCCAAAAUUAGGGAAUGGCUUCCAACCACUUACCUCUUCAUACCCAUUCACUACUAUAAUUAUGAAGGCCUCAUACCCUUUAUUUACUCACUAGUCGACAUGUGGCAUUGAGGUCGACAUCACAUGGAGAGGUCCUCACAACCACUACAACAUACUCCUGCUGUCAUCGCUCACAAAAAGCUACUAUGCUUCUUCUACAAUUGAUUGUCACACUAGACUCCUUAUGACCCAUUCUAUAUUUAGUGCUAUGCCUAACUUACAGUUGACUGCUAACAACCAAACUAUGGUGAUUACUACACCCCUGCAAUGGACAGUGUCCAUAACUCUAAUAAUAUUCACCAUGAUUGUAGCUCCAUUACACAUGGUGUAUAUCACAUGCCCAAAGUCAAUUUCAACUUGGCAUCAACCUCGCCAAACUUCUUUUAGUAUCAGGCACUCCCAAUCUAGAGCACAUCUCAUAGAAAACCUCUUAAUCUCAACGUACCAUCGUAUGCAUCCGUUAUUUUUCGAUCUCAUGCAUACACUUUCUUGCCUCAAGUAUGGAUAUUCCGAUAGAUCCUUACGGUCGCACUACCAAGGAAAUCACCCAAUGCUCACAUAAAGUUAUGGAGCAAAUAAAAAUUUUCAAAAUCUCACUAGUAUCAACUCCACUUUUGAAUCCAUACUAACAGAUCACUCCAACCUUUAAAUCUUUCUGCAUGAUUUUUUAUGCCUUGACCAUAAUGGCAAGGUUCACCAAAUUCUAAGAAAAUCUUUCGAUCCUAGAUCAUUGAUCACUAGUAUACUCAAGCAGUGCCGUAUGCGCCAUCAGUAGCAUUUUGAGCCUUUCGCUCUCAAAUGGUCAACACUCCUCUAUAUAACCCAAUUUAGAUGCUAAAGAAACAUUUCAUUGGCAUUACGAUUAGGCUAAUUACCCAUUCAACCCACCACAUAUAAUCUAUAAUGAGUCUAUCUAUUGGCACAAUCAACAUAGUGUGUAAACACCCUAUGCUUGAUUUUUAGCUCAAACCGACAUAUUUUGUUAAGCCAUGUAGUGUUUCCCCCCAAUGGAAAAAUGAGGCUAUCAUCUCUUUGAUAUUAUGCCUAUUCAUUUUCACUCUAGGCACUUUAUCUCCCUUUUAAUCAACUGGGCAAAGGGAACAUCCAUGAGAAAAACUUUUAUUGGCUCGCUUCACUUCCAAUAGUCGUCACUCGGCUACCUCAAUCAUAUUGACGGACCACAGUUCGGUCCUUCUUUUAUUAUUGCCUCAUGGGUCAUGUUUCACAUCCAUUGCCCACCAUAGCUGGCGCUAAUGUGUCACAUUCCCCAGGAUAGAAUACUAGUACUCCAUAACUAUAAGCCCUGACCAAGUUAGGGCUUGUGUCAGCCUCUAUAGGUCUUGCAUCUUGACUACAACAAGAGGCCUAGUGCCUUUAAUGAUACUUAGAUUGCAAACAUCGGGGCUAUGUAGUCCCCACGACAUUCGUCUCACCAAAUAACUCAUCAAUAUUACUCAAGGAAAAACACACGUGUACCUAGGCAACUCAAAAGUCGAACAUCAUGAACAUAAAAGUUGACCCAAUGAAGUGAAAGUUCUUGAGGGACACUUUCUCUCAUUCAGGACAUUGCAUUGUCGACUGCCAAUGUAAUUAUCGAAAGAACGAAGAGAUCAUCUCCGUCGACUAGUCCCCAAUAUUUUAUUUGGGAGCACCCCAAGACCUAAUCAUCUACUUCCACUAAAGUCAACACACCACUUACUUGCUUAAAUCUUUAGGGUGCGUUUGGUUCGGGUUAUCCUGAUAGGAUUACAGGCAAUACUGUCAAGAUUACUGCGUUUGGUUCAUCCAGUAUGUAAUUUAGUUAGUAAUAAAGCAUUACAAAUAGUGCAGGAUUGCACCAAAAAUAUUACAGAGCGGGGGUGGGUAUCUCGUAUUACUGAUGGUGGAUUAUCUUGUAUGUAUGUAAAAUUACAGGUUUAUCCCUUCGAACCCCAAACCCUUUCAAUACAUCAUUUUUAAAAUUUUAAUUUAUAAUUUUAAAUUUUAAAAUUUCAAUUUUCAAAUUUUAAAUUUUAAAUUUUAAAUUUUAAAUUUUAAAUUUUAAAUUUUAAAUUUUAAAUUUUAUAUUUUAUAUUUUAAUAAUUUUUAAUUUUUAAUUUUUAAUUUUUAAUUUUUAAUUUUUAAAUUUUAUAUUUAUAUUUUAAAUUAAAAUAUUAAAUUUUAUGUUUUUAUUCAGAUUUAAAAUUAAAAUUUAAAAUUAAAAAAUAAAAUGUAAAUUUAAAUUUUAAAUUAUUUAAAAUAAAAUUUAGUAAAAAAUUAUUAUUUGUAAACAGUAAAAUUUUUUUGCCAAAUAUGACUAAGGGCAAUUUUAGAAUAGAUUACACUUUGUUGUUAAAUUACUUAAUUUUAUAAACUGAAUCAAACAUAGUAAUGCUAAGACUUAUGUUCCUACCAAACCACCUAGAAACUUUUUCUAGGCUUUGAUACCAUUCUUAUUUGUCAUGCCAUGAGACCGCUAAUUGGACCUACUCGAGCACGCGCACGAACCGACCGAAUGAGCAAAACUUUUUCUACUGGUACAAAGCAAAAUCAUACGUCAACUUGUACAAUCAUACACGAUAUAUAUACAUAUAAUAUCAGAAUACAACUACUAAUAUAGACAUUCGACUUUAACAACUUUAAAGUCUACAACUAAAUGUAACAUUUCACAAAAGCUAAAGUUCAUUAGAGUUUAUAUGUUUGAUCCCAUAAUAUUACAAUGCUUUGGUUUUCAAAAGUAAAGGAGGUACAUCGAGACCCCUCUCUAGGUCUACUGCUCCGCGGUCUUCUUGCUGCAUUCACAAGCUUCGCCGAUGAUGCUAAGACUUGAAAAAUAGUAAACCAUAGGGGGUGAGAAGUACAUAUAGUUUUUAGCAGGUGUAACCACCGAGAAUGGUGCCUAUACUCAUUCAGUCCAAAUGAGGUAUUAAUAGAUAGAUAAUGAUAACAACAAAUAUCUCUAUAUUAGAAAUGUAGAAAUUAAAUUUUAUGACUACAAUACCUUAUGUAUUCAAGAUGCUACUAUGCCACUGGUUAAGUGUUUACUCAGUUAUCUCAUGUCUUUAAUCAUCUAUUUUAAUAAUUAUUUCUACUCAAUUACCUCAUGGAGAGUAGAGCGAGAUCGUACUGCUCUCCAAUUGAUAAACACACACUUCAUAGAGAGCCAAGGAAAAUUGCACUCCUCUCCAAUUGAUAGACACACUUCAUGGAGAGCCGAAAGAGAUAGAUCUCACUAUCCAAUUGGUAGACACAUAUCUUAUGAAGAGCUGAAAAAGAUCGUACUACUCUCUAAUUGGUACUAGGAGUCAAGGGUGAUCGUCCCUCCAAGUUUGUCAUAUAGAGUCAAGAGGAUCAACACUCCGAUACAUAGUGGGAGUCGAGGGUGAUCGACCCUCCUAAUGCACACAAGGGAGCUGAGGAUGAUCGGCACUCCCUAGGACACUUUUGAAAGGUCAUGAUAUAACUCAUCAUGACACCCUAAAUUCACCGACUCCUAGAAUUAUUAACUGUGUUCCACACACACGUACUUGUUCUCUAGUUUGCAUUUAGCCUAGAGUUCACAUACUACUAUAUCUCAUAUACUAGGUUUCAUCCUAGAUUCAAUGUCACUAUUUUUGCCCUAGGUUUCAACCUAAGCUUAGAUGCCACACUUUGCUUAACCCAUGAUCAAGGUUCACAUGGUCACCUACAUAUGCAUAUAUUUGUUCUUUAUGUUUCACCUUAUAUUUUAACCUAAGUUCGAACCAUGUUCAAUUUAUAUCCUUGGUUCACUUUUCAUUACAUGUCAAUCGUCCCAUUUUCAUACAAGAGGGUCAACAUCCUAAGUUUUCCCUAGCGCGCACUAAAAUCACAUGUAGCUCGAUAAUUAAUAUAUUUUCACAUGCUAUUAAUCUAAGAAACAAUGGACAAAAGGAAGAUCUAAUUCUUUUCUAUGAUAUUCCCCACCUUUGCUUUAAAUCCCUAUUGCAGACAAGUAUUGAUCUCCAAAGAAUCCCAUAGAAACCCUAAAAAUUGUUCUAACAAAGUUAGAACCCUAAAUAUCCCAUUUGAAAACCCUAAGACCAAAAUCCUAAAAUUACCAACUCAUUUCUCCUCUUCUAGAGAGCAAAACGUGGACGAGGGGGUUGCCUUCAGUUUCCUAAAGCCUCCUCUUGAAGUUCUAGACCUUUUCCAAUUCAAGUCCAAAUGAAAUCAAUCCCCAAGCACACAAAAAUAGUUUCCUCUUCUUCUAGAGAGAGAGUGAAAAGGGGUGAAAUGGCUGUGAAAUUAGGGUUUACUGUGAAAACCCUAUUAACACGGUUUCAACAAUAGAAACUAAACCCCCCAAAAAUUCUUAUUUGCAUAGACCAAUUCCUAAUCUGUGCGUAGGGUUUCAGGUGCUCAUCUGAUUUUUCAGGCACCUGAUAGAAGGUGUAUAGUGCCCCUCAUUUACGUAACUACGCCCAGAAGAGUAUCCAGGCGCCCGUUUGUCCGCUCAAUUUCACAAGUUGGGCACUCGAAAAGGGACUAGGGUAUCCGAAUGUUUAUUCUUUCCUACUAGGAGUGCUCUCAGGAAAAGGAUCCAAAACACUUUUCGGAAGCCCACAAGGGACCAUCCAAAAUAACAUCUGAGCACCCGCAGGAUAAUUCGGGUGCCUAAAUGGUUGGUGUAUGUGCGCACCCGAACUCUUGGCUUAGGAGUCUAAAAAUUUAUCAGGACACCCACAAAACCAGUCUGAAGCAUUUUGAGCACCAAAAUUCCUAGUCCGAGCGUUCGAAAAGUCCAAAAUCCAGACCUUGCUUUUGUGGAAUUCUGUUUGAUCUGAAUUAAUUUCAAUUCAAUCCAUACUCAAUCUAAACUCCUUUAAACUUACUUCAAUUAUGUCCAACCGACUUAAUUUGUACUUUAUCAAUUUAGCCAAAGUUCGUUAUCUUAUAUAAGAUAUCUACCUUGAAAUCCAAACCGACCGAAUUAACUGAUUAAAUGACUCAAAUUUUUGGCUGGAAUUUAAACUAUAUGUAAUCUUUUAAAAUAUUUUAAAAAGUAAAAUAAAAAUUAUUUUUAGUCUAACAAAAUUUUUACUAUUAUUUCCUUAUGAUUCUUUUAGUAUGAAUUAAAUUUUUAUUAUAAAUGGUUUGAAUUUUUCAAACCAACAAAUCUACAUUGUUUCGCUAUAUUAUAAUCCUUAAGGCUCAACUUAGAAAGGCCCAAACGAUUGUGCCGAUCGAACUGAACCAAACUUUUGCUUGGUUGGUUUUUCGGUGUGGAUUAAUAGUUCGAUCAUAGUUCAAUUCAGGAAAUUGUAAAACGGAAAAAAAUUGGUUCAGUCCAUUAUUUUAUUAAAAAUCGAUUGAACCGGCCAAAUAGUCUUCCCUAGUUAUAGGGUGCACAUCUUACAUCCACUCUCUAAGGGUUUAAAAACCCCAAUUAGGUUUUUAUAUUAAUAAAAAGGGAUAAUUGCCUAUAUCCCUCAAAACUUCGAAAAUAUUUAAUUUAUUCUUUUUUUUGUUUCUAAUAUACCCCUCGUAUAUAUGUUCCUCCAUUAUUCAAAAAUACUCUCGCAGUUACCACCUGUUAAGUUAUCUCGGGUUAAACGUAAGUUAAAUGUCUAUCAGAGUUUAAAAAAAAUCAAAAUAUUUAUUUUGCCCUUAACUUAAGGGCAAAACAAGAAAAGUUGCCCUUAACUUAAGGGCAAAAUAAGAAAAGUUAGUGAUAGUAAAACGGUAUAUUUGAAAAAAUAAAAAAUCAAAAUACUUUUUUAUGCUCCUAAUUUAGGGACAAAUAAGAAAAAAUUGUGAUGAUAGAAAGGCAUAUCUGAAAGAGCAAAAUAGUAAUUUUACAGAGAUAACGGCUAUUGUUAAUAAUUGACUGAUAGAAUCUAACUCCAGGGAUAUAUUUGAAAUAACUUGGACUGUAAAAAUGGUAUUUCUAAUAUUAGUCUUCUAAGAGGCAUAAAUUAAAAUUUUUAAAAUUUUUCAGAAGUAUAUAACCAAUUGCCCCUCAAAAAAAAAAAUUGAUAAGACUAGCACAAAAAUAUUAGCCUUUGAAUGAGUCAUGUAUAAAAUAUACAACAUGCUCCUAGGAUAACAUGUGGCAUUGCUCAAGCUAAAAGAGAUUUUUAAACCCUUAAUAAAUGGAUGGAUGUAAAUUGUAAUAUUUUUCAUUAGUAACUACUACUCACAUAGUCAGAUAGCACUUGCCUAGAAGCAUUGCAUCGUACAGCGGGAACGAAUGGGCCCUUAGUCCAUCCAAUACUCUUUUAAUUCAAGCCAAUAGUGUGAUAUCUCAAGUACCCAAUCAAACACAAGCCCAAGUGUGCUCUCACUCUUCUCUGCCUCAACACCCUGUUUGGUAUUGUUCUUAAAAUCCAUUUUAACCACAGAUAAGGUACACAAAAGACAUGCAAUUCUGUAAGUUCUUCUCAUCUAACAGUUGCUUCAGCAGACUCUUAUCGAGUCUUGUUGGAAUAUUACAUUGUCCCAAGAAGUGCAAACAAAAGUUACAAAACUGCAAUGCUUUUUGUCCCAAGAAGUUUUAUAAAACUAAACACUCACAGCCUUAAUUAACAGACCCUUUGUUCCUCUCUCUUUGUAACCUGAACAGGCAAACCCCCUUUCAUUCUUAGUGUUAGCGAGAGCACAUGUUCAGGAGUGCUCUUUGUUUUCACAACACUAACAAGCUGAAACCUUUCAAACACGCAAGCCACAAUGGACUUCAUCUGUAUAUAAGCCAUCUCCUUCCCCAAGCACAUUCUCGGCCCCGCAUGAAACACUGGGUAACGGAACGGGCUCUCCGGCCGGAAAACGCCGUUUUCCAACCACCUCUCCGGCUUGUACUCUUCGCAAUCCUUGCCCCAUAUGUUCUCCAAUCUCCCCAUAGCAUAAGCACUGUAUGUCACAAACCAUCCUUUCCCCACGAACGUUCCAUCCGGCAUUGUAUCGUCCUCUUCGCAUGAUUGCGUAUCCAUAGGCACAGGAGGGUAUAAUCUCAUCGAUUCUGAUAUCGCGGCGUGCAAGUAGUGCAUCUCGCGUAGCUCGUCAAAGCUGAAAGUCUUGCUCGAAUUUGGAUUUCUGGUUCUGAUUGAUUUAAUCUCUUCAACUAUCUUCAUUUCUACAUCGGGUCUCGUAGAUACGAUCCAGAAGAACCAUGUCAGUGCCGACGACGUCGUCUCGCGGCCUGCAAGGAGGAAGCUUAUCACGAUAUCGCGGAGGAACUCUUCUGAGUGGUCAUCGCACGAUGCGAAUCGGGACAGGAGAUCGCUCUUCUGAUCCAAAGGCCUCUCCCUUCGCGACCGAAUGAUGUCCGAAGCGUAGUUGUGGACGAUCGAGAUGGCCUCUUUUAUCCGCCGCUCCGAUCCGACAUUGAGAAGCUUCUUGAUCCUCCAUGUCACCUUCAGUGCGUCCAUGAACCGCCAUCCGACGAGGAACUGCGCUUCGCCGAAGGCCCGCAUGAAGUCGGAGUUCGCGCCGGCAAAGCCGUCUUCACGAAGGCAGGCGGGGUCGGCAUCGAACGCCACCUUGCAGACGUUGUCGAACGCAAAGCGUUCGAGAACGUCUUGCAGCUCGACGACCUCAUCUCUUUCUUCCGCUCUCUUCAGCAGCGGGAGCAGUCUGUACUGUAUCUCAAACUGCACGGCAUCCACCACGAAGUUGCGGAGCGUCUUCGUAUUGAAUUCGUGGCUCGCCAGCUUUCUCUGCCGCUUCCAAUGCUCCCCGUCUGAGUUGAAGAUUCCGCGGCCGAGAAAAUCUUCGAGCAAGGCGCACGUGCGCUGACCCUUGGGGUAGUUUCUGAAGUUGAUUUUUAGCAUGUGCUCGACAUUCGCAGGGUCGGCAGUGAUGAUGCCGCUGACCUGCCCGAGGCUGCGGAAGCCCAUCGUGCGCGUCGGACUUGCGAGGAGAAUUUCAGUCGUCCAUUCGAGGAAGCGGCGGCGGUUCUUGAUGAACUGCGGGAGGUAGCCGAGAAGUGGGUAGGGUUUUAGGCCGUAGAUGGUGGGUUUUCUUGAUUGAUCUUGACGGAAGACGAAGAGGUAGAGGAAGAAGGGAAGAAGGAAGAGGAGAACUAGCGGCGGGAGAGUGGAGAGCUCAUAUCUUCUUUCUCACUGAGUUCAGUAAACAAACAGUUGGUCGGCAAGGAAGGAAUACUUGGUGUAUAUAUAAAUACUAAACAAAACAUUGCUGGGAUAAUGUAUUUCAUGGGCUUUUUUUCUUUUCUUUUCUUUUUUUUGGCGAGCUUGGAACGGCCCUCUUUCUGUCUUUUCUCUCUGCGAGUGUUGUGGAAUUAGCAACUUUAGAUAAUAAUUGUAUUUUUAAAAUUUAGUUUUUUUUAAUCUAGAUUAGGAUGCGUUUCAUUAAUUGCAAAUUUGUUGGAUUGUCGUUGUGUGGUGAAAUACAAGUUUACAUUGUAUUCUUUUUUUUUUUUUCUUUUUAAUAAAUCGCACAAAUAAUUAUCAUAUAUUUUACUUGGCAAAAAAAAAAAAAAAAAAAAAAAAAAAGGAAAGAAGAGCUUUACUAGCCACAUAUCCUGUAUAAUGUGUUUGAUCUACAUCCUCUCAUCCAAGAGGGGAGUUCGUACUAUACGACAACUGAAGCAUUCCUACGCAUUGAAUGCACACAAGGUGUAAAAUUUAUAUAUACAAGAAUGAAAUGUACAAAUAAUGUUUAUAUAUAUAGUUUUCUUUUUUAUUACUUUGCGUCCCUCAAUUGCUUUUUGUCUUGUAGUGCAAAUUGGCAAUGAGUGUGUAGGUGCUGCAAUAAACAAUAGGAUAAUGGUUCCGGAGAUGGGUUACAUGAGUUGGACAUAUGCUUGGGUUCCCAAGGGCCAAGGAUAUUGCUUGCUGCGCAAGGAGGUUAUGAUUUUUUUUUUUUUUUUUUUUUGAGAAUUGAUAGCAUGUUAUCUGCUUUAUCCAUUGAAAAUAUGAAUUAGGCUACAGAGAUGAGACAACCGGGGCCUCACGGUGAAAAAAAAAAAAAAACACUCGUAAUUAUAAAAGAUUUUUUCAAGAAUCAAUCAUUUGCUUGAGCCUACGCACUACCUGAGCCGGGUCUAACUGUAUGUUGCGGAAGAUAAGGUCGUUUCUGGCCUUCCAAAUAAUCCACUAGCAUGCAGCCAAUUCCGCUAGCCCGUUCCUCCUACUUUGAGCACCAUACCGUCCCUUCCACCUAUCCCAGACAAUAUGAACAUCAUCACCUAGAUCCUCCAGCUGGACGUCCUCGAAUCCCAUGACCAUGGUAAAUUUGAUGAGGACGCAUUGGGUGAAAAGAUGGUCCACCGACUCGUCAAAAACCCCACACAGCGCACAAACCGUACAACCAAUCCAUCCUUUCUUACUAAGAGUGUCAACCGUGGGUGUUCUUUUCUUUAGAACAAGCCAACAGAACACUUUAAUCUUAAGUGGAAUUCGAAGUCUCCAAAUCUGAUAACCCCGUCCAUCUCUCGUGUCUCCGUCAUUCAGCAUCCGAUAGGCCGAUUGGACAGAGAAAAUACCGUUGCUGUCCCAUCUCCAGCCCACCCCUAUCCUCCCUAUUCCCAAUAUAAAAACUAGAAACCCUCACUUUGAGCGCCGAAAGGGUGGACCGCAGGCUCGGAGGAGCUGAAAGCUCAACGCCCAGGAUCCUAUCCCAAUUCCAAUCUUCGCAUCCAAAGCAGUCCCUAACCAAAACUGGUUUGCAAUCGUGCUGCGCAUAUACCUCUGGGAAGGACGCUUGAAGUGUGGUAUCCCCACACCAUCUGUCCAGCCAAAAGUCAACCGAUCUCCCAUUGCCCAGAUUAUAGUUAGUCCCCCAUUUGAAAGUAUCUUUGGUGGUUAAAACUCCUUUCCAAUGUGAUGGAGGCUUGAAUCCUCUCCCAUUCCACAACGGCUUUCUUCUGCGGUAAAAUAAGGCUCGGAUAAUUUUAACCCAUGGCAGGUGAGGUACAGUACGAAAUCUCCACCACCAUUUGAGUAGGAGCGCCUUGUUCAUGAUAGCUACAUCUAGGAUGCCUAGUCCACCUGCCUUUUUACUCAGACAAACGUUCUUCCAUGCAAUCAGGCACCCUUUGCCAGGGUAGUUGCUUUAACCGCUCCAGAAAAAAUCUCUGCGUAAUACUUCGAUACACUUGAUCACCCAACUAGGUGCCUUGAACACAAACAGAAAGUAGAGUGGUUGGUGAGCACCGCAUUGACCAGAAUGAGUCUACCCCCUCUCGAGAGAAGUUUGGCCUGCCAUCCAUCGAUUUUGUGCUGCAAUUUCUGAAUAACCCCUCGCCACACCUCUUUCGUGGGCGGUUUAGCUGAGAGGGGGAACCCCAAGUAAGUGGUAGGGAGGUACCAACUUUGCAGUCAAGCACAUGCGCGAGUCUCUCCGCUUUGCCCUCGGUCCGUCCUAGGUAAUAGAGCUCGGACUUUUCUCUGUUGAUUUUCAAUCCAGACGCCUACUCAAAUAAGUUCCACAUCAGUCGCAGAUUUCUCAUAUACCGAAUUCUAGCCAUGGAGAAAAAGAAAAUAUCGUCCGCAAACUGUGUAACUGCUGUUAUACUCUCAAUUGAAGGACCAAAACCCUUGAAAUGGUUGUUUGCUGUGGCUUUGUCAGUUAGUCUAGCGAGGCACUCCGCCACCAAUAGAAAAAGAAAUGGUGAAAGAGGAUCCCCUUGUCGUACACCCCUCUUAGUUUUGAUCCAGUUAGUCGCCUCCCCGUUGACCAAAACUGCUACUUUAGCGUUGCAUACACAUUGCUCGAUCCAUCCACACCAUUGCUCCUCGAACCCCCACCAUCGGAGAAUACUGAAGAGGAAGGGCCAAUAUAUCCUAUCGUAAGCCUUUUCGAAAUCCACUUUAAUGCCGACCCCCUCCGUAACCUCCUUACUACCCCAUCCAAUUAAUUCGGAGACGGUGACAUACGUGUCGGUAAUGUUUCUCCCUUUCAAGAUUGCGAAUUGGGAGGGAGAGAUAAGCUCGUUCAUACCAGCUGCAAGCCGAUUUGCCAGGACCUUCGAGAUGAUCUUUUGGAUACCAUUAAUGAGACUGAUAAGUCAAAACUCAUUUGCUCUUUCCGCCCCUUCUUUCUUGGGAAUUAAGCAAAUAAAGGAGUAGUCUAGAGGAGUAGUUGAAGUCCUGCCCUCGUACAGCUCCUGGAACACGUUGAGAAGGUCUCCCUUUAGAGUGUCCCAAAAAGUUUGGUAAAAUCUUAACGGGAAGCCGUCAGGUCCCGGUGCUUUAUCGCUACCCAGUUGAAAGACCGCUGCUUUUAUUUCAUCGACACUGAACUUCUUCGUUAAACGCCUGGCCAUGGGGGCCGAAACCCGUCUUGAGGUAAAUAGAUCGCUCCAAUCGCCGAAGGAGUGCGGGGCUGAGGCAUCAGCCGUAAAAAGAUUUUUAAAAUAUUGGAAAAAGUAUUUCUUCUUAUCAUCCUCUGAUUGAUAAACACGCCCAUUAUCAGUACGUCGCCAAUACCAUUGGCCCGUCUUCUCCCAUUAGCAAUACUAUGAAAGUAUUUCGUGUUGUUAUCCCCCUCGCGUAGCCAGUGCUGAUUAGCCCUUGCUCUCCACAAGGCGGCUUCAUCGUUAAGAACACCUCGCAGUUUUACUUUUAUCUCCUCUCUUCUCGCGACGCAUUCCUCUGUCAGCAUUCCGUGUUCCUCUGCUAUGUCAAUCUGGUGGAUUUCCUCCAUUAAAAAAUUUUUAAGUUCUCGAAUACUGUAGAACUCAUUGUUGCACCAUUCUUUAAUCCUUUGUCAACAGUGUCUCAAUUUCGCUGCAAACGUAAGCACCACUGAGCUUUUCGUCGCUCCCUCCGCCCACCAUCCGGGCACUUUGGUUCAAAAUCCGUCGUGAUUGAGCCAGGCCUCCUCGAAUCGAAAGAUUUUCUUUCUUCCCUUAUUGCCUCGCUCAACCGUUAGCAGUAUAGGACAAUGGUCCGACGUGACACGGGGUAGCGCAACAACCUUGGACAAUGGGAGGUCCUGAUCCCACUCUGUUGAAAUAAGGAAUUUACGUUAGGAAUUUAUUUUUUUUAAGGUUUCAGUUGCCUUUCCGUGACGACCCUGAAGUUUUCUUUUGUUUCUUUUUAUUUGAUUAAUAAAUCCUGAUUGAAUUGUGGUGCUACAUCCUUUAAUCAUGUGAUGAUCCACAUUCUAUUGGGUUCUAUUUAAGAUUGCAGGUAAAUUAUAUUUGUAUAUAAUAAGAAAAUAUAAUAAAAAAAAAUGUCGCUUACUUUUGCAAGUAGUAACACGGCAUGCAAAUUGUAUAGUUAGAAUAUAAUUUUUGUAGUCCAAAAAAUAAGAAAAUAUAUCUCUGUAUACUUGUCCUAAUCCUCCAUCUUUAGCCCAACAAUAUUGUGAAUCUUCUAUCACCAGAAGAUCCUUUAGACUUGAUUGAUAUCAGUUCUAUUUUUGGUUUGAGCAGCUAAGUGUUUAUUUUAAUAGAGUAUUUAAGGGAGAAACUAACAAUUUUUUUGCUGUAGUAAACGGAGCUGUGCGUAGACGGGAAACAUGAUUUGAAAUAAAGACUUACUGCCUAAGGAGAGGUUCAGAAAUUAAUUUUUAAUUUCACUAGUAGAAGAGCCUACAGAAGUUUUAAUUCCAAUAGUGUUGGGAUGCCAUCAAUAGGGGUGUCAAUGGGUACAAAUACCCAAUAUUUUAAUCCGAACCCGAACCCGAACGGAGCGAAUUUAUCCGAUGCUAAGUGUAUAUGGUUUCGGAUAUGGAUAUCAAAAAUUAAAACCCGACGGAUAUGAAUACGGAUAUGAAUUUUGACUGUACCCGACCCGAAUCCAAAUUUAUUUCACAUUACAUAUAAUAUGUAUAUAAAAAUUUGAUAUUAUAUUUGAAUUUAUAUUUUAAAAAUUUAAAUUUAACAUAAUAUAUUUUGAAAUAUUGAAAAGAGAAAUAAUUGUUUCUGGUUUAGAUUUUCGGGUUCGGGUUUCGGAUUUUUGGUCGGGUUGUGGUUUGGAUAUGGAUUUUUAAAAUCCGUCGGGUUCGGAUUUGGAUUUGGGUUUGGGGUUUGGAGUCGGGUUCGGAUUCGAAUUUUUAAAAAUCCGUCCCGAAUCCGACCCGUUGACAUCCUAGCCGUCAAAAGACUUUUAAAUUGAAACAAAUAUUUAAUACUCGGAUUAGGAUAAAUCACAAAGCUCACCAAACUCGCUCAAUAAAAACUUAUUAAAUAGCUCUUCAUCCAAGUUGCACUCGAAUUGAAGCACAAUUUUGUUGGGAAGCCCCUAAUUCUCGCUUUAUGGAGCUUCUCUAAAUUUGCAAGGCCAAUUUGCAUAAAAAAUCUACUAGUUUUACGCUUUUGCAAAAGUUGACCAUCUUUUUCGAUUUUGUAAAUUCGGACCGGAUUUUCAACAAACUGACUAAAAUACCCUUGUACCUUUUUCUCUCCCCUUUUUUUUUUUUCUCUCGUUCUUUUUUUCUUUUUCUUCCCAGAGAGCGGCGGAGGCGGAGGCGGAGGCGGCCCNCUUACCCUUGCCCGCACACCCCCUGCCUUCCUCGCCUCUGACACCGCAGAGGCCGCUCUGCAACUUUUUUUUUCCCCUCUCCGACCCUCCUCCACCGCCUCCUACGACGACGCCUAUCUCGCCCUUUCCCUCUCUCGCUUCCUUCCCCUCCACUGCCGCCUCCAAAGACGACGCCUCUCCACCGACAUCGGCGCAACGGAGAUCGUUGGGUGCCGCAACCUCGGAGCGGGGGGCCUUUAGCUACAUCGUCGCCGGCACCAUAGCCGUUAGCGUAGAGGCGUGAUAAAAAAAAAAUUAUAGAAGAAGUAAGAAGAAAAAAAUAAAGACAAAACUAUAUAAGAAUCAAGAAGAUGAUGAAGUUGCACUGUUAAAAUAAGAUUACAUUGUUUUAAAACAAAUUUGCACUAUUUUAAUAAAAAUUGCACUAUUUGAUAUAUAAAUUACACUAUUUUGGAAUGAAUUUUACACUCUUGAGGCUAAUGUUGCACUAUUCAGGAGAAUUUUGCACCAUUUCUUUUCCUUUUCUUUUUUUCUUUCUUUUCUUCUUCUUCUUCUUCCGCUGCUGCCUCCCGCCCGCCCGGCCAACCCUUUCCCUCUCCCGUGGCCGUUGGCGGAGAGGGCCUCGAGGUUGGCGGGGUGAUCCAGGCGGCGUUGGCGUCGGCGUCGUGGUCGAGGAGGUGGAGGAGGGAGAGGCAGUUGGCGGCGAGGGAGAGGAGGGCCCUGGAGCGGGGAGGCGCUCUCGUCGCCGGCGACUUCCGGGGCAGUUGGCGGCCCUAGAGCCUGUCGGCGAGUACUUCGUCGCCGUCGCCAUGGACGGCGAAGCUGCCCUCGUCACUGGCGACCUCCGUGGCGAGGCCUAUAGGAGAGCGGCAGCGCGAUCGGCCCCACGCGGGACGUGCGAAGCGGGGUGCGAUCGUACGUGACUCGACGCUGGAGGAGACCUCGAGCCAGGUGGGCGGAAGGCAGCAGUGAAAGAAGAAGAAGAGAAAGAGAAAAAGAAAAAGAAAAGAAAUGAUACAAAUUUUUUCUAAAUAGUGCAACGUUAGUCUAAAGAGUGUAAAAUUCAUUCUAAAAUAGUGUAAUUUUUAUAUCAAAUAGUGUAAUUUUUAUUAAAACAGUACAAAUUUAUUUUAAAAUAAUGUAAUCUUAUUUUGACAGUGCAAUUUCAUCUUCUUCUUCUUUCUUAUAUAAUUUUUUGUCUUUAUUUUUUUUCUUUCUUUUUCUACAAUUUUUUUUUGUCACACCUCUCCUCCAACAGCCACGGUGCCGGCGACGCCGCCGCUAAAGACCCCCCGCUCCAAGGCUGCAGUGCCGCAGCACCUCCGCGGCCCCGAUGUCGGCGGAGAGGCGUCGUCGUCGGAGGCGGCGGAGGAGAGGAAGGAGGAGGGAGAGGGAAAGGGCGAGAAGAGCGAGAGAGGGUGCGAUAGGUGUCGUCAUUGGAGGCGGUGGUGGAGGGUCGGAGAGGGGGAAAAAAAAAGUCGCAGCGCGGCAUCGGCGGGGUCAGAGGCAAGGAAGGCAGCGGGUGCGCGGGCGAGGGUAAGGAUGCGCGAGACAAAAACGAAGCGGGCCGCGUCCGCCUUCGCCUCUGUCUCCGCCGCUCUCUGGGAAGAGAAAGAAAAAAGAAUGAGAGAAAAAAAAAAGAGGAGAGAGAAAAAAAAUAUAAAGGUAUUUUGGUCAGUUUGCUAAAAAUUCGACCCGAAUCUGCAAAAUUGAAAAAGGUGGCCUAUUUUUACAAAAGCGCAAAACUAAUGGAUUUUUUAUGCAAAUUGGCCAAUUUGCAAUAUAAUUGUGUAUUGAGAUUCAGUCUGAAAAUUUCUAAAUUAAAAUAAAACUUUAACACUGGAAUAUAAAAUUAAUUACAAGAUUUAUGGACUUUCUCAACAAAAACUGGAUAAGAAGAUCAUCAAUAAUGUCGUGCUACUUUUAAUUCUUUAUAUGAGGCCUUUUUGAUAGGUAUAUAUAUAGAAGCCUGUCAUGGUGGAUGUGCUGUUCCACUACUAUUGGUUCUGGUUCUACUUAUCAUCAGUCAUCAUCAGUUAUUUUGCCGCUCAUCUUUUGCCUCUGGGCGAAUUUUAUGUCCUGAUUAAUAAUUAGUAUUUCUUUUAAUUUAUUUAAUAAAUAUAUAAUAUUUGGUAGAUAAAUAGUGUGAUUAAAUAUUUAUAGUGAAUACUAUAUUAGAUCUUCAAGUCAUUUUUUGUUUAAAUGAGAUAAAUCAUUGCACAGAUAAAAUAUACUGUUCCACCAAUUCAUGGGCAUUAAGACAUUUCAAUGAGACCAACCGUCCCUAAAACAAGUGGCAAAGGACAUGAUGGUUGGUACCCGAAAUCCAUGUUCGAAUCCUAAUUGAUUCACAUUUCCAGCUAAGUUUAUUUCUAAAUGAAAUAAACGAAACGGGUAGCAUGCUACCUUUCUCUCUCGAAAAAAAAAAAAAAAAAGACAUUUCAAUGAGCAAAAAUCACAAUCCUAGAUUCCAAUUACACAAAAAUCUUGACACCAAAUAAAUUGUUUGAUAUCUUAUUUCCACAUUCAAACAUAACCUAGCUUACAGUAGUUAGUUGCUGAAUAAAGAGAAUAAUGUAGGGAUUGAGGUUGGUAUCUCCACUUGUGCAUGCACGCCUAAAGAGUACACGAUUAGAGAUUUGUGUUUUUAUUUAUAUACUUUUCUUACAUUUGGAUUUUGAGACUUUUUGUUAUAUUUGUAUCAGUGCAAUCUGUAGAUUUGAAUUAAAUGAAAAAAAACAUUAGCAUCAAGAUAUGGACUUAUAUUAAAUUAGAGGAAGUUCAAGAAAAUCAAGAGCUUAAUAAUGGAAUUCAAACUAGGAUUUCGUGCUUUUAUUUCAUUUGAAAUAACCAAAUUUUCAAAAGUUAUUAGAAAAUAAUAUUUGUAUUAUUUUAUAUUCAAUAGGUUUCUGGAGUAAGAGGCCUACAAGCAUCUUCAAAAAAAAAAAAAAAAAUGCAAUUUGAAUUUCUGUAAGAAUUUUUCUUAUAGUUAGUUCCAUUAAAGUUUCAAGCCUAUAUCAGAUUUUAGUCUAUAAAUGUUCAUGAAUUUUGUAUUGUAUUCAGAUUGACAUUAAUUUGUCAUGCCCUGGGCUCACAUAGGAAGCCCUUGGGCGCAUGAAUGGAUCCGCUGUGUGUGCGAGGAUGCACUCUGCAUGCAUGAGGCGUACAAAAUAAAAUUUGUAGCAAACAAAAGUUUUAGAAGUCUAUAACUAAAACAAAUCUAGCUAGUCUAGUUGGUGGUCUUUCUCUUUCACUCUCGAAUUUGGGUAGAAGUCACUAUGAUAUACUAUGUGAUACCCUUACCUUGAUCAGACACCGGCACUAAGGGUUCUGAAAAGUAAAUCACAAGAGGGCGUGGGAACUACUAACAGUAGUCCCCCAAGUGGGUAAAGUCGACGACAAUGACGACCUAUCAACUAGAUCUGCUAGAGGCAAUAAUAGUAAACACAUUGAGAGAAUAAUAGAGCAUAACACUUAGCUAGAAAGAAAUAUACUAUCAUGCCUCUAAACUAACAAAUGGAAGCAAUGCAUCAUAUAUCAUGCAUCAACUAUCAUAUUAGAUGAAUAUAUGAAGUAUAUAUAUAACGUAAUCGUACUAACCGACUCAUAGGUCGAGUCAAGCCUGCGCCCGCCUUAUCUUCGGUACCACAUUGACUUAUGGUUCGCUAACAUGCAGUCUAUCGAGCGUAUUUAUAACAACUGCAAGCCUUUGGAGAGGCACUUGAGGGGCGUGACUCCACCGAGUAUUAUAAUAUCUCUGUCAAGUUUACUAUGGCUCAUGUAGGCUAUAGUCAAUCAAAUGAUCAAAAAGAUCACUCUAUACAUUGUUUUCAUGCACAAUCACAUACAUUUCACUGUCCAAUACCUGUCCAGUACCGUCGUACUAUCCUGCGGCAUCUGUCACAUGUCUCACAGCAUAUACAAUGCAAAUAUCACAAUAUAGGCACAAAUCCUCUAACAAUGGAAAACAUGAAGCAUGAGCAUAAAUCAUUAAGUAGAAUAUCAUCCCUCCAAUAGCACUUAUUCUUUUUUUUUUUUCUUUUUUUUUUUUUUUUCUGAUACCACUUGUUAUUUUUUUUUAUUUUUUUUUAUAAUAUUUUUGGUGGAUUCUUAUCGCUAUGAUUUUUCUUUCGUUUCGACCGCUUUUUUUUUUUCGUAUAAGACCUUCUGUGUAAUUUUUUUCUUAUCCUCCUUCAUCUUUCUAAAUUAAUUUUUUUGAUGAUAACAAAGACGGAGAAGAAAAGGUUAUCUCAAUAUUAUUUUAAAUGUUUCUNAAUAAGCAUUAAAAGAAUCCUUCAAUUAAAGUGAAAGAAACAUUUAAAAUAAUAUUGAGAUAACCUUUUCUUAUCCUCCUUCAUCUUUCUAAAUUAAUUUUUUUGAUGAUAACAAAGACGGAGAAGAAAAGGUUAUCUCAAUAUUAUUUUAAAUGUUUCUUUCACUUUAAUUGAAGGAUUCUUUUAAUGCUUAUUUUGAGGGGAAGUUUAUCUAUUUUUUAUUACCUUUUCAAAUUAUUUGUCAUCAUCAAAAAUGGGGAGAUUGUUAGAUUUUUUCCAAUAAUAAUUUUGAUGAUAACAAACAAAUUUUGGAUUUAAUUUGUUGUUUUAGCAAUUUCAGGCUGUAGUUGAAUUUAAAGUGGCUCAAACCGAAUCGGAAUUGACUAAGUUUUUUACAACAGUGAACUACUAUUUUGAAUUUAACAGAUUUGGACUUAAUUUUUAAUAAAUGGAUCAAAAUCAAUAAUUUUUAAUCGUUGAUGUAUGCUGUUUGCAAGUUUAACGGUGUAAAAGUAUUCAAAUCGGAUAAAAAUUUGAUAGAAAAUUCUUUAUACUAUCUACAACAAGGUCAAUAUCUCUGAUAAAAAAUUUUAGUGUUAUAUCAUCACUUUUUAUGAGAUUUUUAUUUUCAACUGUUAAUUUUGAACCCUUUCGAUCGCUAGGUAAAUGAUAUCGAAAAAUCGCAAAAUUUAUUUUCUAAAUACUUCAAAUAUGCUAGAUCAAGUCUAACGGAGUCGAUCGUCGAUUCGAAAGCUCUAUCAUCGAAAACGGUUUGGGAGUACUGAGGCCUCGUGCUCCUAAUAGCACACAAGACCUACUCAUAAAUUAUAUAUACAUAUGUUGUGGUUUUUAAUGGAGAUGGAGAGAGGAUGGAAUUGUCGCGAAUACGCGACCAAAUUAGGUGAAACAAAAUCGUGAUUUGCAUGGUUUGGCAGUGUCGGAAGCGCUGGCGCAGUCUAUUUGCAAAUCUGACAGACAGAUCUCAUGUAAUCGCGCGAUUACCGAGAAAGGGUCGAAAUAAAAAAAUCAGAGAUUUUGCGAAACCCUCUAUAUUUUAUGUACCAAAUCGCACAUGGAAGUGCAUACGCGUGUUUUACAUGCGUUGUGGAGGGCCGGACUGAAAUUUUACUUAUUUGAGAGAGCUUUUUGUAAUUAUACCAUUUGUUUAUAUAGGUGAUAUCUAGGGUUUUCUUCAUUUGAAACCUUAACCUUAGCCUUAUAUCCCUCAGCUCGAGCCCCAGCCGCCUCCUCUCUCACCCUUCCGUGCGCUGCGCACUCCCCGACCGCCGCCACUGCCACCAACAUUUUCCCUUCCACCAUCACCUUCUCAACCCCUCCUCUCAUUCUCUGCCGAGGACAUGUUAGGAAGCAACCUCCACUUCUGAGGCUCCCCACCAGCAACACCCCGGACCUCCGGCGAGCCUCCCCCGCUGGCUACAACCGCCCUCGAGCCCCGCCGCCUUGGCUGUUGCAAGCUUGCUGCAAUCCUUGGCAGGUGCGACUGCACCGAGCUACACCGCCUCCACUGACGCCAUCAGCCACCUUCUCUCCUCCCUCUCGGUCCCUAAGGAGUCCCACGACCCUCCCCCGAUGACCUCAACUAUUGCCAUGGCCGGAGAAGGGAGUUGUACCCUAGUCCUAACUCGUGCGGGCUUGGGUUGUCCCCACGCCACCGUCGCCGCCUCCCGCCGUUGGCUAUCGCGAGCGCCGACCUUCUCCCAUCGGCCGCAACCUCUUGCCAUCUGCGCACCCGCCGCCAAUCUGCCGCCGACCGGGCUUGGCCCACUUUGGCCUAGCAAGCCCGAUUAGGGCUUUUUGGGUUAUUUUCACUAUUCCGGCGACCCGGGCUAAUCCGACACCUCCGGAGGUGAGCACGAUGACCCUUGGACUAUGCUGUUCACAGUGCUCACCUGUUUUGUUGUAAACGAAGCCUGGAUCAUCGAUUACGGCCUUGUCGCUCCCGUUGCGCACUCCCUAUAGAACUUUGGCUUGCUGCCGCGCACUCCAUAGUGGGUGGCAGUGCUCCGGACAGCAAGCAUGGCCUUCACCUUGAUGAGAUCUGUCAACGCAUGCCUCGGCUGACCUCCAAAGUGCUCGGAUCGAGGUAACAGCUUCAAUCUUCUCAAAAUUGCAUAUAUUAUAGUGAUUAUUGAGAUUGUUAGGGGCUUUUGUGCAAUUGUUGCACUACGUACUACUGUAGACAAUAUGUAUUCACUGCUUGCGACCUCUGGACUGAUUGUCCAAGGUCUGGAAUUUUCUGCGAAAGCCGAAUUACAAUUUCAAAGCGUCUUUCUGGCGAAACUCAUCGGCGGAAUGCAGUUUCGGUUCAGAUUCCAUCCGACACAAUUGGAAUGCCUAGGGUUUAAGCUAUGUUGGCUGGCCACCUGCGUCAUCUCAAGUGUCAGGAGAUGACGAGUGAGCGGCGGGGGGUUCUGGUGUAGAAUUUGACACUUUCGGGAAUCCGGAUCGGAAUGAUUAUCCAACGAUAAUCGUUUCGAUGUGAGAUCUUAUGUUAGCUACCGGGACACCUAAAUCGGUGUGUCUCAAGUCAACGGGUGACUCAUGGCAUGAGUCUGUGUGUUUCAAGACACUUCGUGGUCCCGACAGCGUCCCAGUGUGAUUCCGGGACUUUUGGCGAGUUAAGGGGAUCGGUCUUGGGAAACCGAUUCCAUGGUAAAUUUUGGGGGAUUAUGAGUGUUGUGUUUGAGUUAGUAGGAUUAAGACAUUUACUUUGUGGACACUUUGUAGGUCUGGUUGAUUGUCUUGCACAUAUUAGGGGUAGACACGACAGAGAUACAUGUGGGUACUUCGAUCGGAAGUCGAUCUACUGGUGCAUGCUCGAUGAUGUUCCUUUUACUUUCUCUUUCUAUAUUUCUUGUAUUACUUGUAAUUGUUGAGCCUGACACCAUACAACCAUUUUGCAUGUUGCUCUACUUAGUUAUUUUUAUAUUCGCUUGUUAUGAUCUAGAAGUAGAGCGGUUGUUUACUAUAUUCGUGGAUUUGUGACAUCCGUGUGACCUAGUUGGUCGGUUCUAUGACCCUCGUUGUUCCUAUUCGAUCAGUAUACCCUAAGGGGUUUGAUUGUUGGCUACUUGUCGACGGCUACUGAUCAUAUUUGUAUCGAUCGCUAUUACUCGUACGCAUUUUAUGUACACCAGCGGUUUAGCCACUACAACGAUAAUCUUUUCCAAAAAAGUGGUCGGGCUUUGACCAAUGAGCUCAGGAGCUUAUGCUAGGAUUAUAUGCUAUUUAGAGGAGCAUGUCACUUGCCUGAGGUCUUUAGACCGACAUGGCAAAUCUUGAUUGGGUACUUUGGGACUAUUUUUUGGUUGAUACAUUUUACUCACAGUAGCAGUAGUUAUACAUGUACCUUACUUCAUCUUUUACUUAGCUACUAUAUUGCCUUUUAUAACUAUUCUUUCGGUUACCAAUGAGUACACUCGCCCUCGUCAGCUUGCGGUACCCACUGGGAGACCCUUAUUGGUUUCUCACCCCCCCUGUUUCAGGUGAUCUCGAAGGCACGAAUCGGGACAAGGCGUGAGGACAUAGCUAACGGGCGAUAGAGGUAUCGACCUGGUGGCAUUUCGGUUCUAAAUUUCACCCCCAUUUUCUAUUGAUAAAUAAUUUAGACUUCAUGUGGUUUAGUUUAGCUUUAUUUGGUCUUGUUCUGGUUUUACUUUGCUUAUGGCAUGGUUAGAAAUAAUAAAUAAAGCUAUUUUGUAAACGCUAUGUAGAUUUAUGAAAAUGGUUUCUUCCCCUCGUGAUAACUCGUUUUCAAAGAAAAUAAAAGGUUUUCAUGUGAAAAAUAGUUUUUAAAAGAUUUUUUGGCUUUUCGUGAUAUUUAGUAUUUCAAAAAAUGAGUUUUCGGGUGGGAAACACUUUCAACUUAUAGUUGUCGGAUGUGGUGAAUAUUGUGAACGUACUGUUGUGAUUGGUUGUGGUUGUGACUUUUACUAUAUGCGACGCUGUGUAAAUACAGGGAGACUUUGUCCAUGUGAACAGUGAAUUAUUUGUAUUUGUGGCGGGUCUGUCAUCUCUUAGGUCAAGGUUUCAAAAAAAAAUAUCUGCGUAUUUUUCGCUGAGUCAUUGGUUUUUAAAUUAGCCUCCUUUUGAAAUUGCUUUAUAAAAGGGACCCUGGGGCAUGACAGUUGCUGCUAUCAAAAUAUCUAAGAAUCAGAAAAAAGGAAGAAGAAGAUGAAGGUUGAACUAUUAAAAUAAAAUUAUACUUUUUUACAAGAAAAUUGCACUAUUUGAUAUGAAUGUUGCACUUUUGAGAUGAAAAUUACACUCUUUAAAAUAAAAAUUGCACUCUUUCAACAAAAAUUAUACUGUUUCAGACAAAAUUACACUUUACCUCCCAUGGUGACUAUCCUCACUAAUGCGAGUCUCCUUACCCCGCGCGCCGCAUCGAAGCGCCGAAACACGGAAACGACAUACCACCCCCGCACGCGGCUCGCCUUACUCCCACGCGGCGGCACCACCACCACCACCACCACCGCCGGCACUGUAGCCGGCGCCAUGUUCAACAAGAUCGUUAAGUGCGGCCGCAAUGUGCCCAAAUCUGAGUCCUCUUCCCUUGAUCCCUUCUUUAAGUGCGGCCGCAACCCUCCCCCUUCCCCUCUCUUGUCUUUAUCAACUACGUCUCCUGCUUCGCCGCUGCCGCCUCGCAGCACCUGUGCUCUACCCGGGCUCCUCCUCCACCGCCACCAUUAUGUAUCAUGUCCGCCACCUCCACCGCUUCCGCUGCUACACUAGGGGAAUCAAGUGGCUGGCCACGGUGCCCACCAAGCGUUCGAGAUCGAGCCCGUCCCCUCCCCAGCGACUUUUCCCGUGCCGAAUUGCCCCGCACUUUUCCUACGCAAGCUCCGGAUUUGCUCCUUACUAUUCAACUUCUCUAACCUGCUGUAGUCCAUUGCCGCAUGGGAAUAGAGCGAGCAUCGCGUGGGGGAGGUAGGUCGUCUCCGGGUUUCGAUGCUCCGAUGCGGUCGCACAGGGUGGAGAGGCUCACGUUGGUGAGGAUGGUAGCCAUAAAUAGUAGAGUGCAAUUUUUUCUAAAACAGAGUGCAACUUUUAUUCAAAAAGUGUAAUUUUUAUCUCAAAGAAUGCAAUGUUCAUCUUAAACAGUGCAAUUUUCUUGUAAAAUAGUACGUGCAAUUUUAUUUUAACUGUGCAAUCUUCAUCUUCUUCUUUAUUUUUAUCUAAUUCUUAGACUUUUUGAUGGCAGCAACAAUAUAUAAUGAUCUUUCAAAGAGAAUUUUUUUUUAAAAUUUUUUUACUUUUUAUUCUUAUUUUUUUCUACUCUCUACAUUUUUGUUUGCUUCUUGGAUAUGGGCGCAUCUUCUUUCCUCACCCUCAGGGAUGGUGGGCACCUCCUUGGCAACAACCUCAUCGCCUCUGUCCACUCCACUACUCUCACCCGGGCCUGCUCCAAGUUCUCAUUCUCCUUCUUCGGCAUCGAUGAAGGCGGAGGCACAGGUAGAAAUGGAGGAAGAGGAGGCGGUGGUGCCCUCUUUACCGUUGCCGAGGGUCGUUGGCUUCGACAGAGAAGGAGAUGGAGGAAGAGAAGGUGGCGCCGCCCUGUUUACCGUCGCCGAGGGCCACGGUGGCAGUAAAGGAGGCAACAGGGGUCGGAGAGAAAAAAAAACAAAGAAUGAAGGUAAAAAAAGAGAAAAAAAGGAAUAAGACUAUUUUGAUUAGUUUGUUGAAAUACGGUUCGAAAAAUAAUGACCUAUUUUUACAAAAUCGCAAAACUAGUGUAUUUUUUAUACAAAUUGGCUGAAAAUGAAAGUGGUGUGGUGAAAAGUUGUGGAAAGGGUUAAAGUAAUUAAUGCGCACUCGCUGAUUAUUUUUAGAGCAAAAAUAUAAAGCAGAGGGCCGGUAAUUUUGUUGACCACCCCCCUGCCGAGAUCACAAAGAUUCUGAUUUCCCAAAUAUCUGCUUCAAAAACUUUCCUUUUUUUAAAAAAAAAACUAUAUUUUGGACUUUGAUAAUAAAAACUAUAUUCAAACCCAUACACAAUUUAAUUUGCAUUUGGAUUAAAAAUAUUCGGAUUCAGUCGAAUAUGGAUGUGAAUUUUGUUUAGCGAGUAAAAAAAAAAAAGAGGAAAUGAAUAUGGACAUUCGGAUUUUUUAAUAGUAUUACAUAUUUACAUUUAUGUUAAUAUAUAUAUAUAUAUAUAUAUAUAUAUAUAUAUAUAUAUAUAUAUAUAUAUAAGUUAAUUUUUUUAGUUCUUGAUCUAUUUUAUUAUGAUUUUUAUAUUAAAAUUGUAUUUAUAUUGUUUUAAUCUUAGAUUUUAUUCAAUAAAAUAUAAGUACAUAAAAAUAUAAAGAUAAGUUUGAAACUUUAAGUUAUAUUGUUGUUAAUUCUAGUUCAUAUUCCUAUACGUAUAUUAGUACAUAUUAUUAUUAAAAUAAUAUUUGUAUUUCAAUCCAAUUCACAUGAAAUAAUAUGUUAUUAUUUUAAUCUGAUUCAUAUCCGAAUUCGAAGAAAUAUCUCACUAUAUCUAAAUUUAUUUUUAACGAACAUGGUGAUAAAAGUUUAACAUUCAAUAAAAAUGCAAAUCCAAAUUCAUAUCUGAAAAAUAUAUGAUUACAAAUAUAAUUUUGUUCAAUGUCUCACUAUAUCUAAUGUGUUUUCACCCCUACAGUUCAGGCCUAAUUCACCAGUAACGGCCACGCGUUGUAAUAGGCCAAGCUAUACAGAUGCCCAUCUAUAAUUUAUUAGUGCAUUUUCCCUGUUUAAUCAAAAAAAAAAUUAAUAGUGCAUUUAACAAAUAAUAUGAACGUCACCUCAUCUAUUGUGGACUCGCGACAAAACUAAAGAUCACUGGUGGGUACGUGUACGUAUCCUAAUUAUUGGACAAAAAUUAUAGGGGGAAUGGCCCCAAACAAGUUUGUGCGGGCCACUCCCGGAUGGACGCCGGGUGGCAUCCGAGGCACGCGGGCCCAUCGCCCCUGUUGCUGUCCCAUACAGGGGAGCAGUCGGAAUUUUUUUGGUGCACCCGGUGUACUACUUUUGUUUUAAAGUUUUAUUUAUUACUUUUUAAUUAGGCCAAUUUGCAUAAAAAAUUUAUUUAUUUUGGGCUUUUGCAAAAUCGGGCCACAUUUUUUAUUUUUGCAGAUUCGGUCCACUUUUUCGUCCGCCGGAUCAAAAUGCCCCUCGUAUACAAAAGCCGCAUGUGUAUUUCUUGACAUAUAUAUACUGCCCUGCCCUACGGUCUGGCGCGCAUUAAAUGCACUGCUUCCGCCUUACGCAACCUCGCUCAUUUCUCGGAACCCGGACCACAUUCGCCCCUUUAUUCGCCGGCCCCGCUGUUUGCUGUUCGGCUUUAAGACUUUAAUACAAUUUCUCAAGAUAAAUAACAAAAACUGCAUUCCCCGCAACAGGGAUAAUAGUGCAACCGCCCUUCUAACAGUGCAUCUCUAGGCUCGCUCCAGUGCAACCUCGCCAUAACCAGUCAAAAUUUUACUUUCUCUAUUUCUUAAUAUAAUCUGAACUUAAAAGUGCAAAUGAACGACGUCCCCUCCAAAUGCAGGCGAAGCGUCGGCGGCGCAGGACGGUCGGCUGCGGGGUAGGACGGUCGGCGAUAUGCCACAUAAGAGUCGGCGUGCCGGAAAGCUCGGCGGCGGGGGUGGACGGUCGCCGGCGGGGUCCGGAGUUCGAGAGGCGCGACAUAACGGCUAACGAUUGUGUAAAGUUUUCUCAUAAAAGAUCACGCGUUCUUUUAACUGUAUAAUAAGUGAAAGGCAGUGUGAAUAACAGAACAAUAUUUUACAAAAGAGUGCAACGAAGCUUAUAAGAGUGCAAUACGGAGUUAAUAACAGUGCAACGGAUUUAAAAAUGAGUGCAACGAAACUUGUAAGAGUGCAAUACGGUAGUAAUACCAGUACAAUGGUUUGAAAAAGACUCGUACUAAGCUUGUAAGGGUGCGUUCGAGAGGUGGAUAUAAUAAUAGUGCACCUUUAAAUGCCGAUAAUAGUUAGACAUUUCUUUAAAAUGGUUUAAACGCCGAUAAUAGCCAGUGCAAUGGUUUAAAAACGCCUGAUUUAUUAAAGAAGAUAAUAGUCAGACAUCUCUUUAAAAAUCAUACUUCCUAAAUGGUGUAAUAAAUCGCGUUCAACGUUGUAAACUUAAUUGUGUGGUAGUUCACCAAUUAGUGUAAUAAAUUGACUAAAUGGUGCAACGAGUCUCUAACCAUUGCAAGAAAAAUCGUUGGUGUAAGAAUGUAAAGAUAUAAAGAAAGGGAUCUCUUUCUUAAUAUACAAGCAAAUUAUACAUUGUCUUUGACGAAAAUGCAACAUAUAAUAUACAUUUUGCAUACAAUAUGAUGUUCAGAACAUCAACUGUAAUAUUCGCAUCAACAUUAAUAUUGAACAAAAGUAGGCUUUCAUUUUACAGUAAGUAUAGAAUCAUCAUUAAAGCUAGUUGGCAAAUCCACGCGCACAGAGCAGAUGCUACUGUUCCUCUAACGGAAUAUGAAAUGGUGAAGAGAAGAAGGCUCGCUCGGAGGGGUAUGUCGAGUACUUUAUUUGCACUAGGGACUUUAGCAUUGACGUUUCGGCACUACAUUGUUCGUAAAGAGACAGUAUAGUCAGAAAAAAAAUUAGAACCGAUCGAUAAGAAUAAAGAUCUAGAAGAAUUUAAGAACCUGGUAUGGAGGUGGUGCCUCGUCGCAAAUAAAGCACAGUAUUUCAGAUAGUGCGAAUCAAUCUUAACGCCUCCUUGCUGGAUGGUACACUUACGAUCGAGCCUCCUCGUUGUCGACCUCUCCUACGGCUCUCUCCCCUCGUCUCGUGUACCUCCAUUAUCGCCGGUUGCCCAAGUCCAUAGAGAGUCCUUUUUAUAUAUUAUAAUAUAGGUUGCGUAACCAUUUAGGUCACCGACUAUUAAUGCUCGCGAAAUAUUAGUUUUCCUCGUGAACAGAAAGUGGCUAAUGCUCACCUCAAGGGCCGUAUUACUGUAACAUCACUUAAAAAAUAUCAAUUCCUUUAUUCAAUCGUAUAAUAAUAGUGCAACGAUAGACCCUAAUAAUAGUGUAACGCCAAGUAACAGAAUGCAAUAUAGCUUCUAAAAGUGCAAUACUGGCGCGAUAUUAGAGUAACAUUCGUCAUAACAGUGCAACGCCUUUACGGGGAAUGAAACUGAAGAAGUCAUAUUUAAACAAAAUAAAAAUAAAAAUACGUUUGAAUAGUGCUUUUACUUUUGCCGAGGCAGCUUCGAUAUACCCGCCGGUGUCUCUUCGCCUCACAGAAGGGACGCUAUAACGCUAUGUGCUUUUAUCAGCAUUAAAUGCGCCCUGCGCAGGGAGCGUAUAUCAUCCACGCUAUUCGCCAGACCGUGUGUUUGCUGUUUGCUGAAUCCAUAGCACUAUUAUGAUGACAUCGUUGCACCCUUAUGAACUUAGUUCUACUAUUUUAUCCUACGUUGCACUAUUAACGGUAGAGAGCCGAAGCAGCGUUCGAGGAGUAGGCGGCUCGCUCGGAAGGGUAUUAUCCAGCAAUGAGGCAUUAAGAUUGAUUCGUACUAUCUGGAGUGCUUUAUUUGCCACGAGCCCAUUGGCCCUCCUCUCAUACGGGUUCUUAAAUUCUUGCAUAUCUUUAAUGUUAUUGAUGGAUUCUUAUGUUUUGCUGAUUGAACUGUCUGUUUCAUGGUAGAGCAAAGCUCCAAAGGGCUCGAGGCAUAUAAAGCACUCCAGAUAGUGCAAAUCAAUCUUAACGCCUCGUUGCUGGAUCUACCCUUCCGAACGAGCCUCCUCAUCCUCGCAGUCUCCUUCGGCAGUCUCCUCCUCCUCGCAGUCUCCUUCGGCAGUCUCCCCUGGCCUAUACCUGUUAGCGUCGGCUAUAUGCGCGUGGAAUUGCAGAGAAACUUCGAUGAUUACAUACUUUUCUUAAUUAAUUAUUAUGAAGAGAUUGUUAUAGUUGAUGUAAUAGAAUGUUACAUUGUAUGCAAUUCCUGUUUGUAUUUUGCAAAGUACUAUAAAAUCGUGUACUCGGCUUUAAAGAUAAUGAAAUUCUUGUUCACAUGUUAAUCGACUCCUCACGAAUUUGUUACACUAUUUACCAGUUACAAUAUUUAACAAACAAUGUUGCACUGUUUACAUCAUAAUAUAAUAUAAAUUUCGGACAUUUUUGCACUAUUAUGUUCAUGUUAUCACCAAUUCUGUGAAAAAUUUGUGCUACAUAUCGUACUGUUGCACGCUUUACCGAAAAAUCUUGAACUAUUUUGAUUUUAGUUACACCACUUAAAUACUUCGUUAACUAUAAAUUUUAUUUCACCCCUCGUAUAACAAAGCCGCCCGCGCUGGCGCUCAUUAAAUGCGCCGCGUCCACUUUACGCAACCUCUCCUCCCUUGCUCAUUACUCAGAACUCGGACCAUGCUGUACUGUCCGGCGCUCAUUAAAUGCGCCGCUUCCGCUUUACGCAAUCUCGCUCAUUACUUGGGAAACGGACCACAUCCCCCCCGCUAUUCGCUGUACCCGCUAUUUGCUGUUCGGCUUUAAGACUUUAAGAUAUUUUCUGAAGCUAAAUGACAUUAAGUGCACGCACGCAACUGGGAUAAUAAUGAACAGAAAGGAGCUAUGACAGGAGAAAUGGUGCAACCGCCCUUCUAACAGUGCAUCCGUAAACUCGUUCCAGUGCAACCUCUCCAUAACCUACUUAUUUUAUUUUUUAAUGUAAUCUUAAGCUAUUGUGCAAAUGAAAGGAUAUGGGGGUCGUCGAAUAGCGGGGCAGAGUAGAAGGAGGCUCCACCACCUCUUUAUCCGCCGCUGCGCUACCUCUAGCCGCCGCCGCCGCAGUGUCGAAUUCGCCUCUAUGCGCAGGGAUAUUAGUGCAACGGGAAGGUUCUACUGCAGUAUAAAUGGUGGAAUGACCGCUAUAACAGUGCAUCCGUAGUCUCGUUCCAGUGCAACCUCACUUAACAGUCAAAAUUUUGAGAUCCUCGUUACACUAUUUUUUAAAUAUGUUGAACUGUUAUCCUCUAUUUUGUACUAUUAUAAAAAUUUACUUAAUCAAAUUAUCUAUAUGUACAUUAUUAAUAUUAGCCUUGAACUAUUACAAUAAGACGUAUUGAUUUUUCGAUGUUUCCUGCGGUGCGCCCGCGGAUGUCGUCGCGCGCAGCUGGUUUGCUCUAGUCACAGGAGGGUUCUUGCAUGACCUUUUGUUGUGCCCCCAUCUCUAGCAAUUCCGGCACCGCUUCUUUAUUAAGCCGUUAGCAAUAGACUCUCGCCGCGAAACCUUUCUUCUGCCCGGUUGUAUGCGGACGUUUGGCGGCCGUGGCAGAACAACGUUACUUAGUAUUGCAGGCCAUUGCUCUUUGCCUCUGGUGGGGGGGACGCAAUCGUUGUAGGUUGCGCGAUAAGUCGAGGUCUUAAACCAGUCCUCGACAAAAUCAUACGGAUCCCGUAGCCUAAAUGAAAUUGCUGCCAUAGCGUGAUUACAUGGAAUGCCGUCAAUGUCCCAUCGCUUGCAGGAACAUGUCUUUUUGGAAAGAUCCACAACAUCUGUAUGGUCGGCUGCAAUUACCUGAAAAAAACAAGCCAAUCCAAAGGGUGGGACAGAUAGUGUAAUGACUAUAUGUAACCGAUUGAUAAGUAGUGUAAUAUACUGAUUAAAUGGGACAAAAUAAACGAUAAUACCUGAAAGAGGACAUCGAUCGAAGGAUUCAGCAUGUAAAAGCGGGACGCUUCCCUCGAGCUCCCUAAAAUCUUUUCUGCAUAGGGUGUUACUACACUGGUAAUAUUCUCGCCAUUAUUUUUCCUCUGGUAAAAAUAACAAGCUGUUUUCUUUCGUGUUUCCUCGACGAGGUAGGUAAUUGGAAGGCCUUUUAAAUGACGAAUUACACUGUUUAUCGUUUCGGCACAGUUGGAAGUGAGUAUUGAAUAACGCCUUCGCAGGAAGCAAUGGGUAGCCCACCUAUGCCGAGGAAGGUUGACUACAUACUUGUAAUGUUCGGGGUUCAACUCCUUAAUCUUCUCCAUGUGUUCGUUGAACUCCGCGACAGUAUAUGCGCGCGCAGCCGCCCAAAAUCUUCUUCACGCAGGUGUAUUCUUUGGCGCGUGCGGGAGAUUGGUAGAUAGAUGAUAAAUGCAAUAACCAUGAGCUGCAUCCGGAUAAACAUCAGAUACAGUAUCAAUCAAUCCCUUUUGGCGGUAAUGAUAGUAAGUAUACUGUUUGCUCUGCUGGAGUCGCGAUCACCGACGACGCCAUCCCGUAACUGUUCCAGAAACUAGUGCCAGGAAUAGCAAUUUUCACCUUCAACAACUGCCCACGCCAAUGGCAAUAUGCAGUUAUUCCCAUCAAUACAUGACGCCGCCAUCAGACAACCUCUAAACUUACCAGUUAGGAAGGUUCCUGGAAGAAUAAGAAACCGUGUAUAUUAUUGUGUAAUCGUACAAAUAAUUGUGUUACAUUCAUGAAUUUAUUAUAUAAUAGUGCAACAUAGUAAAAUAAUGAUGUGACAGUGGCGUAAUAGUGCAAUAACGUACUAUCCAGACCAAUCAGCGGCCUGCAGUGCUUCCUGAAUGCUUGAAUCGCUGCACCGAAUGCCCAGAAAAAAUGGUGAAAACGACCCUCGUCCUGGUAAAGUAAUUGGAGACAUGUUUUCGCAUCUCCACUCCUCAACUCUUGGAUGUACCAGGGAAGUAGAGCGAACGAGCUCUCGAAAUCGCCGCGGACCUCUUGAAGGACCAAUUCCCUGGCCCGGUAGGCUUUCCAGUAUAAAAUUUUUACGCCGUGCUGCCGAAGAAUCUCAGUCUGAACCAUCUUCGGCGUGUAUUUCUCGUUUGCUACCACCUGCUCCCUAACAAAUGCUGCUAUAAAAGCAGCAUCGCAAUUCCUGUGGCCCAAUCCCCCUAUUGCCCUGCUACAAGUGUGUUGCGAAUCAAAUUUAUUCACCUACCAUUGAGCAAUUCCUGGUACUUGACGCGUCUUUAUUCUCCAAGGAUAAUCUGAGGCGCGGCAUUGUGCGGUUAUCUUAUGGCCAUUGCAUUUCGUCGGUGCGUACUCAAAACCUCUUUUCAUUGCGUAUACUUUGAGAGCUCGUUUGAAGUCGCCUUGCGUCUUGUAGAGCUGGCCCUCGUGGACAUCGUCCGCAUCUGCGACGUCAACAACUGACUCCAUCGUAGAGCUAUUUACAAUGAGGUCUUCUUCAAGCUCGUCGUGGCCAAAUUGCUGAGCAGUAAGUCCCACUGCAUCGCCUUGCCGCAACGGGAGGACAUCCAUGGCGUUGUAUGUCCGAUGAGGUGCGUCGGGAGAAGUCAAGACGAUACCGUUUCUUUCGUCGGGAUCUGACUCGUCUUUUAGAUCAGCAAUAAUAAAACCGUCGUCACUGUCUGCCGCUUCCGCAUCGUCAAUGAGAAUAGGAUAAGAAGAUCUGCAGCACAAGUGAAAGCAAGGAGUGUAUUGUAAAUAUUAAAUAGUAUAAGAACCCUUAUGUGUAAAGUUCAUACGGUGCAAGAGGUCGAAGUAAUGAUGCAAAAUAUUACGAACCAGUGCAGCAUAAAAAUAAUAUAUAAUGAAAAAAUUAUGUAAUAGUGCAACCGUAUAAUAUAUAUUGCUUAUAAUUGAAUGAGGUAAAAUAUAAUGGUGCAAAAGUGCAUUGAGAGUAGUGCAACCGCUGAAAAUAAAGAGAUCACAAGUGCAAUAAGGCUCGGUAAUUGUGCAAAAGAAAUAAUAGUGUAACUUACGAGCCAACUUUUUCAAAAUUUGUCUGCUGAGGAGUAGAUGCAUCCUCGGAAUGGCUGUUAAUCAAUAGCUCCAGCUAUUCGUCUGUAAGCAAUUCGUCUAUAUCAUCGGGAUCACAAGUAGCAACCUUUCUCUCGACUAAGUUACUCACAGCAUAAAGCUCCAUCAGAUACGCGUUGGUUUUAUAGAGUCUCCGUAUGUUUCUGACAUCGUCAUCAUCAACAAUGUCGAUGAGUUUACUAAGAUUCCCACUAUAGCUAAGUUUAAUUUCGAUCUUGCAGGAUUCCUGUGAAGUAUUCAUAUACUUGCAGAACAUUGCAUGCAGGGAAUUAAAAUUAUCGCCUUGCCUGAUGAAAUUGAGCCAGCUGGAUCCUCCUAUAUAAUUGACAAUGCCUCAUUCCUUCUUAAAACACCCAUUAAAAUUGCAGUACACUGGAAUUUCAGCGUUAUUCAUGACUUGUAAGAGUUGGAUAUAGAAAAUUAGCUAAAAGUUAUCCAAAAACACUCUUUCAUCAAUAUAUAAUAUAAUCUAGUUAAUGUGUAUGAGUUGUUAAGUUGUGCGUGGGGCGGGAAAUAGUACUUCUGUUCCCACCAAAAUUUAUUUCUAAUCCGCCAGAAUUUUUUCCAAAUGACGCAAGCUUUGCACCAUUUUGGACAAGUCGACCGUGCAUAUGCGGUUGUAUUGCACUAAUUUUGACUUCUGUUACACUAUUAUGCUAUCUAUUGCAACAAUAUUUCAAAUUAAAUUUCUAUAUGUUAUUUCGGUAACUGUGCCAUAUUCAACUGUACCUCAACAAGAUAUAUCGACAGUGGCAUCAUUAGAUUUUAUAUUCCCUUCAGUUCUUGAGACAAGUGCUUCUGCACUUCCAAAUAAUAUAAAUAAAAAAAUCAAAAAACUAACAGCAAACACUAGCUCUGGCGAAUAGAAUAUCGUCGCCCUAAAACUGCGUUUCCCGCGCUUGUUGCAUUAAUGACUCUUUAAUGGCUUGCAUUUAAUACUCUUUCAUAAAACGGCGCUGUUGCAUAUAGCGCAUGGGCCUAUAUAAUUACCGGAUUGUAAGAGAAUUUCGCCUCGGAAAGAUAAAGAAACUUUCGAUGUUUUGGAAUGGAAAUGAAAUAGUGUAAUAGCCGUAAACAAAUAACUAAUUUCUAUAAUGAAUUGCACUAUUAUGUCUAUUAUAUUGCACCGUUACAAUCCAAGUCGGAUUCUCUUACCGCACUUAAACAUUCAAUUGCACUAUUAUGUCUAUUACAUUGUACCAUUAGAAUACAAGUGGAUUCGUUUAACCAAUUUUCACUAUUAUGUCUAUUACAUUGCAACGUUACAAUUAUCAUGAAUUCUUUUACACAACUUCUUCAAAAAAUUACACUAUUAUGUCUAUUACAUUGCACCGUUAUAAUACAAGAUAAAUUUUUUUACACCACUUUUAUAAUAAAAUGCACCAUUAUGUACAUUACAUUGCACUGUUACACGGAUGGAGUCAAUAAAAAUAAAUUGACUAUACAAAUUAAAGAUUUGUUAAUCGAAUGAAUAAGGCUCGAAUUAUUGCGAAUAAAAAUGCCGCAAAAAUUCUGCUGCUAUCUCCCCGCUUUCUUCGUUAUAUCUUUCUGGGAGAAGUUCAAGUUCCACCCCUUCUGCAAGUAUUCUUCGUAUGUUAAAAGGAAGAUUGCGCAAUCAUUUGAUUGAUCUUGCAUCGGGAUGUCGUCCCUGUUGAUCAUCUCCAGUCGACUGGACGGGUACCGCGGCGAAGAAACAAAUCGGGAAAUUUAUUUUGCAAAAAAUUAUCUAAGAAAACGUUGGACUAAUUAGAAAGCCUGGUUUUUACUGGAUGAUUUUAUAUAUAUAAAAAGAAAAUACUUACCGCUGUCUCAAACCCAACGUUGUAUUUAGGAUUUUUAAUGGACGAUAGGUGGAUGUACUUUCCGGCUUGGAGAUCGACCGCCAGCAAAUGCCAGUGGUCGGAGUGGAAGAGCGGGAUGAACCAGUACUUUGCCCCAGUAAUCACCUCCUCGUUGAUGUCUUGCAAAAACAUCUCGACGCGGUUCAUUGAUGUUCCUAUUGUUUGAUAAAGGAAGGACGUGGUGUAUAUGCACUUGUGGCCUUCCGCCUGCUCCAGUAAAUGCUGGUAGGAGUCGAUAACAUCGGAGCUGACGAAGGCCAUAUGACUUGUUAGGUCAAUGAAGUCAGUCCUUCCGAUGUCAAUACCCUUCGAAGGCACUGUUACUGGUUCGGUACUGGUACUUGUCAGGAAUUUUUCAAUUCGCUCCUGAUCCUCCUUUGGUAACUCUCCCUUGCCGUAAUACUUUAAAUUUCGGUUAGCUGAAGAUAAUGGCACCUUAAAUUUAAGUUUUUGGGCCUUUUAUUUUUUUGAUGUUUCUUUCAACUCCGGGAUGUCGAUGAUUAUUGGGGGCUGUAUAGCAAUCGAAUAAAGAGUUAAACACUCAAUGCAUUACACCAUUGCUAGACCUUAUUACACUAUUACAAGCUGUUACACUCAAUGAAUUACACCAUUACUGGACCUUAUUACACUAUUAUAAGCUGAAUCGCAUUAAAGAUCGAUAAUAGUGCAAUAUUCACAUACCGGUAUAGUGCUGGGUUCCGGCAUGGAAGACUUCGCAGUGUGGGUAGGCGCCGGGACCACAUCCUCCACCGCCGCCUUCGCCUCCUUUACCGCAUCAUCAGCCGCCGCCUUCGCCUCCUUGACCACGUGCUUUGCCGCCGCCGUCGCCUCCUUCUUUUCUUCAUCCUCCGCCGGAGCUGUCGCCGCCUCCACCUUUUUCUCAGAGCCUGCAUCCUCUGCCGCGGGCACUGUCACUAGUGCAGCCUCCACCUCCUCAUUUUCUUCAUCCUCCGCCGGAGUUGUCCCCACCUCCACCUUUUCCUCAGAGCCUGCAUCCUCCGCCGCCGGCGCUGUCACUGGUGCAGCCUCCACCUCUUCCUUUUCUUCAUCCUCCGCCGGAGCUGUCGGCGCCUCCACCUUUUCCUCAGAGCCUGCAUCUUCCGCCGCCGGCGCUAUCACUAGUGCAGCCUCCACCUCCACCGCCACAACAGCCGACUCCACAAUUUUCUCGGCGGCCGCGUCCUCCGCGGCCUCCUCCUCCCCCUUUUCCUCCGCCGCCGGCACCUCUGGUAGUGAAGAUAACGGUUGGACGUCUUCACAUAUUUCGAUGACGACGUCCAUAAGCUGACAUUUUCAAAAAAUAUUUGACGUCACAUAAACAAAUUCGUUAGGAAUUACACUAUUUAAUUACAACUUACACUAUUACAUACUUCAUCUCUAUGCAAAACCGACUCGCCGGCUAAAAGUCCCGCUAUUCGACUGUCACUUUCUUCGACAUUUUCUUCAUAUAUAUUUAGCGGGCGCGGCGACUGCGGCUUGACGCUCCGUCUCGGUAGGUGGACCUGCAUUCAAAUAAUGUGUUCUAUGUUACACUACUCUAGAAUAUGAUGCACGAUUAUAAUAAAUGUUACACAAUUAUAGAACUAAAAUAUGAUUUUAUUAAUCCAAGUCUUGUAGAGUUACACUGUUAUGGAGAUGCCAUAUUAGAAUCAAUCGUUUGUUGAGAAUGUAAAAUAAUAAGGGCGUCGCAUACGUCGGUGAUUGGGUCGUCGGCUUUAUUCUUUCGUUUCUACUGAGGUCGGAGAUCGUACGGGCUUCGAAAUCGUUUGCCCCUCUCCGGCGUGUGAUUUUUACGAGAGUCCUUAGGAGCCUUUGGCGGACUCUCUAGUUUUUGGCGUGCCCCAUCAUUUCUAGAUUUUGAAGAACUUGCCGACCGUUCUUUCUCGAUUUUGGGAUUCUCCUUAAUAGCCGAGAUCGGUGGGGCAUCGCCAAUACGGACGUUCCUAUCCUUCCUUUUUUAGCUCCCUGUAUCGAUCGCUUAGAUGAUUUAGACGGUGGGGGGCUUGGUAUUUGCACUCCUUCGUGUCUCCUCUUCUUGCUUUUGAUACUUCCAAUAGGUGCCGGGGUGGAUUUUGGUGCUGGUAGGAGUGCCGGAUUGCUAAGUAUGCCGGCAACAGAGGUGGCAAGACUGAACACCGGACUCCAGAUGGCUAAUUGUCGCCAUCACCUCUUUAUAACACCCCGGAGGUUCCUCAUUCCUGGGGCGGCGGUGAAGCCGUGGAACUUGAGCCACGACACCCACCAGGCGUAGUUCCUCCGGGGAGAGGUCGAGCCUGCGGCGGCAUGUAGUGAAGUUAAAACCCUCCUUCACUCUCGAUGAUCCCCGCGAACGACGAGACCAUCUAACCGUAUCCCACCUCUGGACAUGAGAAAAUAUUGCACGACGGGAAGGCAGGGGACAUCUAUAUCCAGUGUGCUCGUAUAUCCACACCUGAAUGCAAAGACAAUAUUACACUAGAGUUCACACAGUUACUAGAUUUAAGCAUACAAUAGAUUAUUUUCGCACGAUUACACUACAAAUAUGUACACGCAUGAACGAUUAAAAGCACAUAAUAAUUAUCUUGCAUGAUUACUUGAACAAUAUACACUUACUGGGAGAAGCGGGGUGCAUCCAAGAACGUAUCCUACCCGCUUCGAAUUAGCUUGCAAUUUGGCCGCGGCGGAGCAUAGGCUGUCAAUUAUAAGCUGGUGUACUGCUUCCGGCCAAUUGUACCGUGUCAGUGCGGGGAGAUCAUCUACAAGCCCCACCAGUCCUUUGGGGCAGAGAUUAUUGGUAUUGGCGAAAAGAAUACAACAAAAAAAAAAUAAAGAAUAAGUAAUUUGACGAAGUCGGUAAUGUCCUCUUCGCCUUGCUUAUUUGACAUCUCCUUCAACACCACCUCCAGGUUCUUGCGAUCGACCUUCUUUCCCUCAAGAAACCGAUUCUGAAUAUCCGACCCUAAAUUGAGGGUUAGGUUUAGAGCCUGGCCCGACAGGGGUAAUCCAAGAAGAACUGCCACCUUCUUGGCCGUGAAGCGUAUAACUUGACGGCCUAUUUCGAAUUCUACACCCUCCUUCCAAUGUCGGAGGAUGAACUCCAGCAUAGACCUAUCUGAGGUGAUGUCGGGGAAGUGUAAGAUAUUACCGAAUACCGUCCUCUGGAUAACGGGGAGAUGAUGUGGCUUCACGACAGACGCGUAAGUCUUCCUGUACGCUCCGACGAAACACCGCGAAUUCACAAUGAAUCUACCGGCGGGGCCGCCGGCAACCGGCCGCGAAGGUGCCUUGUGGCCGCCGGAAGCCGAUGAAUCAGUAGAAUGCGACGACUUCGACGCCAUUGCAAGCUACGUAGAUUUAGAUAGGUCGUUUCUUGACCGAUGGGAUUCGAAGCAGAAGAUGGUAGUCACAAAGAGCAAUGUGGUUGCUAGGAAAAAUGGGGGUUGCAAGGCAGUUUGCUUCGCAGUGAAGGUUUAGAAUAGAGUAAUGGGGAGCGACAGCAGUUUGAAAGUUAGUGGGAUGCUAGUAUGGGCCAACCUAUUCAGGAAACAGCGUAAGAAUCCAUACAAAAUAUGAAACGUAAGCACUACAAACAGAAAACAGCGAGAAACGAACAGCAAAAACCCGCAAUGGCGAAUAGCGUUUCACACGCCAGUCGCAUUAAAUAUUGCGACAGAGUAAGUACAUUGAUGUGAACGUUAUACUCGAGUGGGUGAGCGAAGAUGGCGGUGGCCGGUAAGUGAGGCGAAGGGACACCGGCGGACACAACGAAGUUUCCUCGGGAAAGGUUGCACUGUAUAAAAGGUUCGAGUCGUUGCACCAUUACUUUAAACUAUUGAACGAUUACUACGAUAUUAUUGCACUAAAACGAACAUGGUUGAGCUCGUUUACAACGUGUUGCACUUUUUAAUCGUGUUAAACAGCCAAAGAAUGGCAUAUUGGACAGAAGUAAUAGUGCAAAAUCGGCUAUAAUAGUGUAAUAAUGCUCAACGUGGUGCAACAAAAUAAUGAAUUAUACAGAUGUAUUUUGAUCCACGACGUAACAAUGUAAAGAAAGGGAUAUCUUUAUUAAUAUAGUAUAAAAAUAUUCAUUGACUUUGAUGAUAAUACAAAAUGCGGUAAAAGAGUGCAUGGAAGCUUCCUAAUGUAAAAUUUUGACUGGUUAUCGAGAUGUUCCACUGGAACGAGGCUACGGAUGCACUGUUAGACUGGUUGUUGCACCAUUAUCCUGCCGUAGAACCUUCGCGUUGCACUAUUAUCCCUGGCGCGCGGAGGUGAAGCGACACGGCGGCGGCCGCGAUAAAGAGGUGGUGGAGCCUCCUCCCACUCCGCCCCGGUAUUUUCGACGGCCUCCAUGCCCUUUAAUUUGCACUAUUAGCUUAUGAUUACAUUAUGAAAUAAAAUAAGUAAAAUUUUGAAUGGUUAUGGAGAGGUUACACUGGAAUGAUGCUACGGAUGCACUGUUAGAAGGGCCGUUGCACCAUUUCUCUUGCCGUAAAACCUUCGCCUUGCACUAUUAUCCCUGGCGCGCGGAGGUGAAGUCGACACAGUGGCGGCGGCGAUAAAGAGGUGGUGGAGCCUCCUCCCACUCCGUCCCGGUAUUUUGACGGCCCCCAUGCCCUUUCAUUUGCACUAUUAGCUUAUGAUUACAUUAUGAAAUAAAAUAAGUAAAGAGGUGGUGGAGCCUCCUGCUAUUCCGCACCCAGUGUUUGCUGUUCGGUCUUUUCUCCGACGCCUCCUCUUCCUGAAACUAUUGAACUAUUCUGUCGACCGCAUUGCACCAUUACAAUCACAGUUGUAGUCUUUUACCCUACGUUGCACUGUUAGAAGGGCAGUUACACCAUUUUUCCUGGCGUUGCUUCUUCGCGUUGCACUAUUAUCCCUGUUGCGGGGAGUGCAGUUUUUGUCAUUUAUCUUAAGAAAUUGUAUUAAAGUUUUAAAGCCGAACAGCAAACAGCGGGGCCGGCGAAUAGAGGGGCGGAUGUGGUCCGGAUUCCGAGAAAUGAGAGAGGUUGCGUAAGGCAGAAGCGGCGCAUUUAAUGCGCGGCAUACCGUAGGGCAGGGUAGUAUACGUAUGUUAAGAAAUACGCGGGCGGCUUUUGUAAACGAGGGGCAUUUUGGUCCGGCGGACGAAAAAGCGGACCGAAUCUGCAAAAAUGAAAAAGGUGGCCCGGUUUUGCAAAAGCCCAAAAUAAGUGGAUUUUUUAUGCAAAUUGGCCUUUUAAUUAUAAUUAAAUAAUAUAUAUUAUAAUAUUUUAGAAAUAUAUGUAAAAGAAUUUAGAAUUUAAAAUUUAAAAUUUUUUUACAAUAUAUUUUUUGAAUAUUAUAAAGCAUAUAUCCAUUAUAUUAAAUUAAAAUUAAAAAAUUAAUAUUAAAAUUUUAAAGUAAAAAAUGGUGUACCGGAUGCACAAAAAAACCGACUGCUCUCCUAAGAGGCAGAGCAGCGGGGACGGUGGCCGGUGUGGCUCGGGUGCCACGAGGCGUCCUCCUCAAAUAAUUUUUUUUGGACACAGUGUCCAUAAAAUUUUUACCCAUAAUUAAUAGUCCCUUUUCUUGCUUUACAAAAUUUAAGGGCUUUUGCUGUUGUUGCCAUGUGUCGAGAUUCGUGGAUGAUCCAAAAAAAUUUAACAAGAGCCAUCCAAAAAAAAAUAGUAAAAUAAGUAAUCCAUCUAAUUUUAAAUUUUGAACUUAGAUAUUCUAGUUGCAAGUUUUCGUUGUCCUCUAAUUCCAACCGCUAUAUGCUCCUUACUAUUAUUGAAUUUUUUAAAUUAAUCUCUCAAUACUCAAAAUAUCUUUCUAAAACUCACUCCCAUUAAUAAAUUAUAGAGGAAAAGAGUAUAUUUGAAGGAAAAUUUUGAAGUAGGGCAUUUUGGUCAUAUAAGAAUAUACUUCUUAAAUUUUCAAAGGCAUAUGAGAUAUUAUCCAUUUACAUAGAUGUACCUCAUUUUCUUGUUAAAAAAAUCGAUAUAAAUACAUCAUCUGUAGUUAAAUUAAUAAAUGAUAACCAUUCAAUCAAAGAAGGAUUUAUACUAAUAUGGUAACUAAAUUAGAAGCAAAAUGAAGUUAAAACUAAAUUUGCAUCAUAACUUCCGUUGUUCUUGUUGGAAGCCGAAUUUCCCGACCCUUGACCCGGUCAAAGAUCCUCCUAGGAAAGCGCGUUGGGGUGAGGAACGGCUGCGAAUAGUGACCCUCGAAGUUUGCGCCCUUCGACAGAUCAAGCGAUUCGGCUGAUGAGAGAUCGAGGUAGCCGGGUUCGAAAACUACUACUAUAGAAUCGGUUCGGCUGGAGGAGCCGAAUAUAUGAACUGUGCAGGGAUCAAUGUCGGCAGAAGAGCCGAAUGGAAAAAGUACACAGUAACUGGUCGGCUGAAAGAGCCGAAUAAAUGAAAUACAUAAUGACUGGUCGACUGAAAGAGCCGAAUGCCUUUAUAUAAUAAUAAAAAGAGUGUGCCGGAAGGGCAUAAAGACUUAGAAAUAUAGUUUACAACAGAGUGAUGCCCGUGGGGCAGACAAACUCUGCAAAUGUAGUCUACAACGGAGUGGUGCCCGAGGGGCAGACAGACUCCAGGGUUUUACUUAGCGAACUACUCCUAGGAAAGCAGUAAAUGCGGAAAAGAAAAAGAUUACAUUUAGACUACUCCUAGAAAAGCGAUAAAAUGUAGAGAAAAUAAGGGUGGUCUUCUCAUUCAGGAUGGAGAAAGACCUCUAUUGCAGGCUUUGAAAUUACUAUUUAUAGUAACAUCAACCCACAUUAUUGGUUGGUUGGGGGAGUGGUUGUAACCAUGGUCGUGGAAGUUACGCCCCACUUCUCAUGGAAGUUACAUCCCACUUCACAUGAAAGUUAUGCCCCACUUCACAUGGAAGUUACGCCCCACUUCUCAACCGUUCCCGCCUAAACGCUCUUGGCCUUCAGGCGCCUUAUUUCUGACUCCUGGUGUACCACGUGUCCUUAUUUCUUCGGCUCAUACGUGGCUAGGUCAGUGUGUUCAUUUCAAAUUUGGCAUCAACUUAUCCCUCCUUCUUAAUACAUUUUUGCUUGGAAAAAAAGAAAGGCACGCAUAUUUAUUUUUGCAUUCCAAUUUAUAUUUUGAAAGGUUUGCAUUUAUACAUUUCAAUUUGCAAUAUAUAAGCUCGGAAAAAAAGAAAAGCACGCAUAUUUAUUUUUGCAUUCUAAUUUAUAUUUUGAAAGGUUUGCAUUUAUACAUUGCAGUUUGCAAUAUAUAAGCUUGCAAAUUAUCGAUGAGUGUAUAUUGUGCCCUAGCUACCAAGAGCUUUGAUCCACCACUGUUACUUCUACCUCUAAAGAAAGAAUCAGUUAUGAGAGAUUUCAAUAAAAUAAAUAUUAACAAAAUAACACUUUACCUAAAAUACUACACACUAUAGUGGGAUCAAAUUUGCUUUAGCCCAUCCAACAGUGUUUAAGUUCAAGCCAACAAUGAAACGACUCAAGCAUGCACUCAAUUGCAACAUAUUUGCCGAGAGAGAAAUGGUAUGUCCCAUCCGAAGUUGUAGGUUUUACUAACUCUUUUUUAGUUUUAGUAAAUAGUAAUAAUAAGUAUAGAAAAGUAGCCUUUUGAAUAAAGAGAGUUGUAGGAUUACAAUUCAAAGUGGGUUAGAGAUCUAGCAUCACACUUAAUUGCCAUGAUGCUCAAACACUAGUCUAAGUAUGCUCGCACUCGUCUUUGCCUCAACACCAUGCAUGUUUGGUAUUAUUCUUUUCUAGUUUAACUGCAUAUAAGGUACACAAAAGACAUGCUAUCUUGUAAUUUCUUCUAUUAUGUCUACAACAGACUAUUAUUGGGAAUAGUACAUUUACUCUAGUGAAAUAAAAACAAAAUUAAUAGAAGCGAAAGUUAACAAACUGCAAUGCUUAUAUUCUAACCACUUUAUGAAACUAAAUACUCCAUAUUAUACAUGAACAACAGGACACCACUGUACAGUUACUAGCUAGAUCACAUUAGCCCUCUCUCUUUGUAACCUGAAUUGGCAAGUCCCCUUUCAUCUUCAGGGCUUGUUUGGUUCAUCCAUUUUGGAUAUGGAAUGGGAAUCGGUUUGAUCAAAUCCGGUUAAUUUUGUUUGGUUCGCAUGAAUCGGUUUGGGAUUCUUAUUCCGGACUGGAAUGGGAAUGUCCUAUUAGCCUUCAACUUGAUUCCGGUCUUCUAGUCCGGAUUGAGAUUUCAUUCCGGAAGCCCACUAAGUUCUCGAAACCCAUGUGACCAUCUCACCCUCCUCUUCACCCCUUUCUCAUCAAAAAAAAAAAACCUAUCAUCUCUCAAAACUCUAUCCCUAACCCACAUCAAUAAAAGUUUUUAAAAAUAAAUUUGAUUUUUUUUUUUUAGAAAACUUGUUAGAGAAUAGUAUUAUAUUUUUCAUAAAUUUUAAAUAAUAUAAAUUUAUAUUUGAGAGUAAAAUUAGUAUUAUAGUAUCCUAUAAUUUUUUUAGUUUAUACGAACCAAAUAAUGAAAUGUGAAUAACUCAUUUCAAUUCCCAAUCCACAAAUAAACCAAACGUCUUGGGGGAGUGGGCCAUUCUAAUUACCAUUCCAAUUCAUUCCCAUUCCAUUAUCCAUUCCAAUUCCACCCUUGAACCAAACAAGCCCUCAAUGUUAAUGAAAGUAUGUUCUCAGGGGUGCUCUACUUCCCUACAACACUAAUCAAAAACCUUUCAAAUAUGCAAGCUAUAAUAGACUUCAUCUAUAAAAAGCCCUUUCCUUUUCUAAGCAUAUUCUUGGCCCGGCGUGAAAUGUCGUGUCUCGGAAGUGGGCUCUCUGGCUAGAAACUCCAUUUUCUAGCUACCUCUCCAGCUUUUACUCACUGCAAUACUUCCCACAUAUGUUCUCCAAUAUCCCCAUAGUAUAAGCACGUAUGUCACAAACCAUCCAUUCCCCUCGAACGUUCCCUCUGACAUCAUAUUAUCCUCUUCGCAUGAUAUGUAUCCAUAGGCAUAGGAGGGUAUAAUCUCAUCAACUAUGAUAUUGCAGCAUGCAAGUAAUGCAUCUCUCGCAGCUCAUCGAAGCUGAACAUAUUGCUCGAAUUCGAAUUCAUUGCUUAAACUAUUCUAAUCUCUUCUGAGAUCUUCUUUUCUACAUCGAAUCUCGCAGAUACAAUCCAGAAGAACCAUGUCAGUGUCAACGAAGUUGUCUCAUGGCCUGCAAGGAGGAAGUUUAUUAGGAUAUCGCGUAGGAACCCUUAUGAAAUGUCUUCAUACAAUGCAUCGGCAUGAGAGAUCACUCUUCUGAUCAAAAGGCUACUUCCUUUGUGACCGAAUGAUAUCCAAAGUGUAGUUGUGCAUGAUCGAGAUGGCUUUUCUUAUCCGCCACUCCGAUCCAAUAUUGAGUAGCUUCUUGACAUUCAGCGCAUCCAAGAACUGUCAUCCGACGAGGUAUGAACUUCAACGAAAGCAUGCAUAAAUUCAAAGUUCAUGCUAGUGACGCUUUCUUUGGUGAUGCAAGAAGGGUUGGCAUUGAAGGCCACCUUGCAAAUGUUAUCGAAAAGGGAAAACUUCAAAAACCCCCCUGUGGUUUCGUAGUUUCUCACUUUGCCCCCAUGUGGUUUAAAAUGUAUCAAAUUACCCCCCUGUGGUUUUGUUUUUAUCUUUUCGGUAGCUUUUUCGUUAAUAUUUCAUUAAAUUAUAUACAAAAAACUUCAGAUACCCAUCUAGAUUUAUCAAAUAUUCACUUUAGUACCCUUUAAUUUUAACUUUAUCACUGAUUUAAGAAAAAAAAAAUAAUGAAAUUGAUAAGAAAAAGAGAAAAACGAAACCACAGGGGGGCAAAUUGAUACAUUUUAAACCAUAGGGGGGCAAAGUGAGAAACUACGAAACCGCAGGGGGUUUUUGAAGUUUUCCCUAUCGAAAACAAGGCAUUCGAGAAUGUCUGGUAACUUAACAAUCUCUUCUCUUUCUUCGUCUCUCUUUUGCAAUGGCAUAAAUCUGAGUUGUAUUUCAAACUGCACUACAUCCAUAAUGAAGUUAUGCAGUGAUGUUGCAUUGAAUUCAUGGCUUGCCACCUUUCUCUGCUACUUCCAAUGCUCUCUGUCAGAGUAGAAGACUCUGCAGCCAAGAAAGUUUUCGAGCAAGGCGAAUGUACGUUUGCCUUUUGGGUAGUUUUUGAAGUUAAUUUUCAGCAUGUGCUCAACAUUUGCGGGGUAGGCAGUUGUAAUAGAAUAAAGAAUAUAAAAAGAUAACCUCUGUCCCUUCUUGAAGGUGUCAGUGAUUUAUAUUAUAGUACAUUUUUUUGAGAUUACAAUAGAAUCAAUUUAAAUUUUGUAAACACUAAAGUUGUUAUCAUAACUUGCUAAGAAAAUACAUGAUAGCUAGGAUGACAUGGAGUUGUUACAACAAAUCUUCUCAAUAUGCUCCCGCAAGCUCAACUCAACAGGGAUGACAUUGAGCUUGGAACAAAUAAUGCAGAACUGCACCCUGGAAUAGGUUUUGUGAAUGCAUCAGUAAGCUUAUCUUUGGUAGACAAGGACUUAGAAGCAACAUGUUCACAAACAAAGUGAUAAUCGAUCAAUUACGACAUGCUCUCUCCGGGUGUGAGAAAUAGGAUUUGCCACCAAGUACACCAUAGGCAUGAAGGAGAGGGCACAACGAUUCUUAGUUCAUGCAAUAGCGACUUGAUUUAGAUUAAUUCAGGAGCCACAUUUGCAAAGGCUUUGUAUUCCGCCUCGGUGCUGGAGCGAGCUACCAUGGCUUAUUUCUCUGUAUUCCUAGACACCAAAUUGCAAACAAGGUAGAUAAAAUAUCUGCUAGUAGAGUGUCGAUCGAGAGAGUAUCCAGCCCAAUUGGCAUUGCUGAAAGCAUGAAGUUAACAAUCGGAGGCAUGAUGUAGCAAAAGACUAUGGCUCAAUAUGCCCUUGGGGUAGUGUAAAAUUUGCUUGAUAAGAGGCCAAUACUCUUUGGUGGGAGUGCACAUGAAUUGACAAACAUGAUUAGUAGGCUACAUCUGGUUCUGUUAGGAUGGCAUAUUAAAGAGCGCCAACUAUACUUCAUAAAUGUUUCGGAUCAUUCACAAAAUAAGAAGAAUUGAAAAGAGUCACAUCAAUCGCCAUAGGGAUGGAUAUAGGUUUCGCAUCUUCCAUUUGUGCUCGAUGAAGUAUGUCCAACACAUAUUUGUGUUGAGAGAGAAAGCAUCUGUUGGGAUGGAGGGUAAGCUCAACACCAAUAAAGAAAUAGGCCAGGCCCAUAUUUUGGACAGCAAACUCAGCUAUGAGAGAAUUGAUUAGAGUGUUGAUAUCAAUUGUGCCAGCAAUCGUGUCAGCACGUGUGGUUAGAAUAUCAUCAACAUAAAUGAGAAUGUAGAUAGUUAGGAAAAAUGUGAAUAUCAUCAACGUAAAUGAGAAUAUAAAUAGUUGAGCAAGAUAUGACCUUGUAGAAGAGUGAAGUGUCGAUCUUGGACCCAAUAAUGUUGAGGGUGAUUAGGUAAGUGCUAAGCUGAUAGAAUCAUGCCCGGGGAGCCUAACGAAGACCAUAUAGGGAUCGGCAUAGCUGAUAGAUAUGAUAAGGGCAUUGUGGGUGGACAAACCCAAGCGACUGUUCCGUAAAUGCAAGCUCCUUGAGGUUCCCAUAAAGGAAGGCAUUGGAAAUAUCAAGUUGUCGAACGAGCUAGUUGGAGAAAACGGCAACAUAGUGAAGGAGAUGAACAAUAGUGAUUUUAAUCACCGGGCUAAAAGUCUCGAUGAAGUCCACCCCAUGUUGUUGACAGAGACCUUUGGCAAAAACGUGGGCUUUGUACCGCUUAAUAGACCUGUCGGAAUGUUGUUUGGUUUUAAAGACCCAUUUACAAUAGACUAUAUUUAUGUUCAUCUAUCAUAGAAGAAGCUAUCAAGUACCAGUUAGUUAGAUUAGGGUGUUGAAUUCUACCGCCAUGACCACGUGCCGUGUUGAAUAAUGAACUGCUUGUGAGUAACAAGUGGGUUUAGGAGGCAUUGUGACGAUGAUAGAAAGAGUCUUGGUCAGAGCGUGCACUAUGGAAUGAAGCACACGUGGGCAACGCAUGAUAUAUAUCCUUAGAUUGGGUGACCAUUGGACGACGAGAAGUUGAUGGAGGUGGAGUAUAUGGUGCAAAGGAAGCAGGCGGAUCUGCUGUAGUUGUGGGCAAUGGUUCAUCAAUUCUCGCAGGCCUUGGCUCAAGGGCAUCAGAGUUGUCGGGCGCACCAAGAGUCAAAGUAGGGUUCGAGCAUUACCAGGAUGGAGCUAUUCUUCUAAACAAGGCCCAAUUGUUGAUAGGUCAUCUGAUGACGAGGGAAAACACUAAUAGGGAAAGUAGGAAGCUGAGCACUUGCUUUAUUAGUCUCUUAAGACGGUGUCAGAGAACAAGAAACCUCUUCUACAAAAGACAAUCUAUAUUCAUCAAAGAUAACAUGCCGAACAAUAAAAUACCGGCCAAUGGGAAGAUGCAAGUAGUUAUAUCCCUUAUAAGUAUUGCUAUAGCCUAUUAAAAUAUAGAAAUCAGACCAAAAAUCGAGCUUGUAAUUCGAAUAGGGAUGCUAGUAAGGAAAGCAGGUGUACCCAAAAAUGCAAAGAAAUAUAUAGUCGCGAGAUUAUGCAUACAACUUUUCAUAAGGAAAAAUAUUAUUUAGUAAAGAAGUCGGAAGGUGGUUUAUAAGAUAUGCCAUGGUGAGGAUAGCUUCAGGCUAGAAUAACGAGGGAACAUUCAUAGUGGUCAUAAGAGCGAAAGUUGUCUCAAUUAAGUGACAAUGCUUUAGCUUGAUCUUUCUGUUUUGUUCAAGGGUGCGAUAGCAACAAAACCAAGGUAUCAGGAUAAUGAUCGGUACUCCCCACCCCAAUCAAAAUGAAAGAUUUUAAUUUUUCGAUCGAAAAAAUACUCAACGUGCCUUUGGAACUAUAAAAAGAUAUCAUAAACUUCAGAAUCAAGUUGAAGAGGAAAUACCCAGAUGAAUUUACUAAAAUCAUCCAUAAAACUACCAUAAUAUUGAUUGCCAUCAGUAUAGGUCAUUAGAGAAGGCUCUCACACAUCAGAAAAUAUAACGUCAAAAGGGUGAGAAUCUAAAGAAUGAUUUUUAUUAUGAUGCAGGCGAUGAGAUUUCACUUAUUGACAUGUGGUACAAAGUGAUAACAUUUUAUUUGAAGAAAUAAGAGAGAGAAUAUUAGAAACUAUGGGCAUGGCAGGAUGCCCAAGUCAAUUAUGACAAAUAGAAGGUGAGGCCCGUCCUCCAAGAGAAAGAGAAGAACUAGCAGCCGAAGAGUGAAGAGCUCCAUAUCUACUAUCUCACUGCGUUCAUCGAAUAAACAAUUGGUAGGAAAAUGAAGAAUACUUGGUUUAGACAAUGAAUUUCAUGGCUUUAUUUUAUUUUAUUUUAUUAUUUAGGAUCCUUCAAUGAUAAUCAAUUUUGAAAUGUCCCCCUCAUGCUAAAGUCAUAUUUUUACCUUUUUCUUCUUGUGCGUCUUGUAUAAUUUAUUUUGCUUGACGGGUAAUCUUUUAGAUAGUAAUUGUGCGGGACUCAUAUUGUUUAUGCCUUGUUCUUUUUGUUUAUCUUUUCAAUGAAUAAUCUAGAAAAUCAUCUUGGCCUCCUUUAAGAUAUCUAUACACAUAUAUUAUUUCUCAUAAGCUUUUGCCACAUGGCAGCACCAUAGUCUCUCAUUCUCAAAAUUUCUACUCUCCAAUCAUUGGGACCGCUCGCCUUCCUCGUAACAUCUGCCUCUUCAGCUUUCCGUUUCAUUAAUUCCUUCCCUGUAACAUCUGCCUCUUCGGCUUCCCGUCUCAUUAAUUUCUUUUCCGUAACGUAUGCCUUUUUGACUUCCCGUUUCAUUAAUUCAUUCUCUGUAAUGUCGCUGUUUCGACUUCUCACCUCAUUAGUUUCUAUUUUCUAAGAGGCGUUGCCCGAGGAGCCCGUGGGCAUGGCAGAUGGCGUCCUCGACAACGACCUCGCCUACUACGUCCGCUCCAACCUCAAGCCCCGCAGGCGCGCCGCCCUCGCCCUCAUCGUCAACGUUAGGUGAGUCGAACUCUAACCCUAGCCCCUAACCCUCCUCCCUCGAUCUCAACCAUUUAAAUAUGUAAUGUAUAGUUAUGCAAAAGGUGUGUAUCCCUCUCCUCUAAUGGCCUCGGAGGACGAGAAGUAUCGACUAAGAUAUGGACUUGCCAAAAAAGGGUUGAAGGCACUGUGGUGCUUCACGAAAUCGUCGGUGUUAGUAAAGAAUGCCCUAAAUGAGGGUACAAAGGGGUCCGAUUUUUAUGUAACAAAAUUUUUUCUCCUAUAGUUUUUUUUCAUCUUUUGUUGUUUUUUAUUAAAUUAUAAUUUUAUUCUAAAAAUUUGAAAGUAUUUUUUAUAUUAUUAAAUUUAAUCAAAUAUGAUUAUAUCCGCUGCAUCGCGCGGGUUCUUACACUAAUAUAUACAUUUAUUUGCAACUUUACUCUUGAUUUUCUAAAAUUAAUUAAUUUUAAUCAAAUAAAUUAUAGAUUUUAUCAAAUAUAUUGGUAAUUUGAUCAAAUUUGUUGACUUUAACCUAUUUGUAGCCAAAAGAAGUAGAACGAUUAACAUAUAAUAAUAAAUUGAAUAGUUACAUGCAUCUAAUAAUAUUUAUAAUUUUAAUUGGAUGAUUCAAAUCGAAAGCAAUAGACGUUAAGAAGAUCUCAAAGUAAAAUGGCCGUUUUAGUUGAGGGCAUCCUUAUAUAUCUUUUAAUUUUUAUUUUAUGGAGUGGAGCUAUCACUAGAGCCUCAGGGUCGAAAUCUUAUAACUUGGCCCAUUUAAUAGCGCUGGCAAACGAGCGAGCCGGCUCGCGUUCGACUCGUGUUCGGCUCGAUAUUCGGCUCGCUCGAGCUCGACUCGAAAUUAAAUGAGCCGAGCUUGAACAAAAUAAAAGGCUCGAAAUUCAUUUCAAGCCGAGCUUGAGUAUUACUCGGCUCGUUCGAAUUAGGCUCGAAAAGCUUGAAAAGCUCGAAAAUAUAUAUAUAGGCUGGGGCUACUAUACUCUUAUGAGUAUAGACCCCCUUGUACUCAUAAAUUUUUAACCGUUGAUUGAUGGGAUGUAUAGUUAGGAUGAUGGUGGUCCCCACUUAGAAUGACAGUGGUCCCCUAGGGUUGAGUGGGUAGUUGGUUAAAUAGUAUGAUCUAACGGAUGAAAAUGAUUAAUGAAAUAAAUCUAAGGGUCGAAAACUUANAAUAUAUAUAUAUAUAUAUAUAUAUAUAUAUAUAUAUAUAUAUAUAUAUAUAUAUAUAUAUAUAUAUAUAUAUAAAUAUAAUGUAUUUUACUUAUAUAUAGGCUUUAAUUUAAUUUGGGCCAUUAUUGUUGGCCCAUAAAAUAAACCCAACAAGUACAAUCGUACAAUUGAGCCCAAUUCUAAAUUUACAUAACACACUAUCUCUUUCAGACUUUCACUGUUGCACAUAACCCUAAAACAUGAUAACAUUCAAAUUUUCAAAUCCCUACUUUUUUUCCUCUCUCUCUCUCACAGACCCUCAUCUAGUCAGGAAGUCACCCUAGCUCACAUUUCUUAUAAUUAUUUUGUAUUUUGAACUAUUGGACAUGUUGUAUCAAAUUAUAGAUAAUGUUCUACAAAAAUUAAACUAUUGAUUAUAUAAUGUCGAGAAUUUCAAUCGGCUCGUUUAGAGCUCGAGCUCAGCUCGACUCGAAAUUAAGCUCGCUCGAGCUCGGCUUGAAUUAAUUUCAAGCCGAGCUUGAGCCUAGAUUUAGGCUCGAAAUUAAUUUCAAGCCGAAUUUGAGCUGACAUAAGCUCGCUCGAGCUCGGCUCGUUUCCACCCCUACCAUUUAAGGACCAAGUUGUAAGAACUUGUCUCAAUAUUUUUAUUUCCUAUUAAAAACCAAAAGGGUUGGAUAAACUCUUUUGGCCAUAGGAUUGGAUGCGGUAAAGAUUACGGUCCAGGUUCGCGUUAUGUAAUAUUACAUAUUAUUUCGAUAUAUCCAGAAAUCUUGAAUUUUUGAAUAAGAUUAUUAUUAAUGUCGCGUUAGCAUGUUUGGUUUGAUAUGGUAAUGUAAUGCUGAAUUGCAAUAUAUAUAAUAUUAUUAUAUUUAGUACAGCUUAUAAAAUUAAGUAAUUUUGACAACAAAGUUAAUUUAAUCCAAAAUUACCCUUCCAUAUUUGGCAAAAUUUUUCUAUGGUUUACAAAUAAUAAUUUUUUUACUAAAUUAUAUUUUAAAUAAUUUAAAUUUUGAAUUAACAUUUAAAUUUUAAAUUUUAAAUAUGAACAAAAACAUGAAAUUUAAUAUUUUAAUUUAAAAUUCAAAAUUUAAAAUUUAAAAUUUAAAAUAUAAAUAUAAAUAUAAAUAUAAAUUUUAAAUUUUAAAAUGUAAAUUUAAAAUUCAGAAUUUAAAAUCUAAAUUUGAAGUUUAAAGUUUAAAAUUCAAAAUUUAAAAUUUUAAUUUUAAAUUUAAAAUUUGAAAUUUGAAACAUAAACUUGAAUAUUAAAAACUUUAAAAAUGUAAAAUUUGAAAAUUUAGAAAUUACAAUUUAAAUUAGAAAUUUAAGAUUAAAAUUUAAAAUUAUGUACAGAUAUCAAAUUUUAAAUUUGAAAAUUUAAACUGUAUAUUCUAAAUUCUAGAAAUUUGGAUCAUUUAAAAUUUAGAUUUAAGAUUUUAAGUUUUAAAAUAAAAAAAUAAAUUCGUUAAAUUUAAAUUUAAAAAUAAAAAAAUUUGAAUAAUUUAAAAUUAAAAUUAAAAUUUUAAAAAUGACCGCGGGAUAUGAACAAGGUUUGGGAGCUUUCGUAGCGGGGAUGAACUUAUAAUUUUACAUACAUACAAGAAAGAACCUUGCAUCAGUAAUACCAUUUUCUCACCCCCACUCGAAUUAUUUUCGGUCGUAAAUGUGUAAUCUGAAUAUAAUUCUAUAAUGCUAAAUUACUGACUUAGAUUACACAUUUGAAUGGAACCAAAUGUAAUAAACCUUUUGCAAAACUUACGAUGUAAUUCUGUUAGAUAACUCGAAUAAACACACGCCUAAAGUAAAGAUUAUAGCGAUAUCCGUUACCAUAAGUAAUGCUAUAUAUAAACACCAAAUCAGGGUGCGCCUGUAUUAUUUUACCGUCACUCAACCCACUCUUACAUAGAGUGAUGAUAUUACUAGUCACUUGACGUGGAGUAGCCGGAUUCUAUUCCAGUCCUUAUUAGAUGUAGUGUGAUGAACUUGUUACUGGUAUCAUUUUUCUUAACUAUUUGUUAGUUUGCGGAGCACGUUUCUCAACUGUCAUUUUAUUUUAAUUGACACUCUUUUUUAUUUUUUUUAUUUGAGUAUUUCUGGCACUUUAAGCUAUAAUAUUUAAUUAAUGUAAUAGCUUCGCUCUUAACCUCGAUUAGCUCUACCCAUGGGUUAAUUGAAACAAGUUCAUUAAAUUCUCGGCUUUGUGAAGUACAUUUGAUUACAAAUAGGAAUUAAAAUCGUAAAAUGAGAAUGGACUCUAAUUGAAAACGAAAUGGUGAUUCAAUUCCUAAUUUGUUGAUUCAUAAUAACAAUCUGGGAAGUCUUGGAGACUGUAUACUCCUGAUAUUGAAGAUUAAAUUAAAGCUUUUUUAGUUAAAGCUUUAACAAAUUAAAAUUUAAAGGAUUAAAUUUUAGUUAAAGUUUAACAAACUUUAAAAUUUAACAAAUUAAAAUGUGUUAGUGGUAAAAUUUAGGAAUACUUGUGAAACUUUUCCAAACUGUCACUUGUAAUAUUAGAACAACCAUCCAAUGUAUCUCAUUAUUAAUAUACGGUUUCAUAGCUCUUCAAAGUCUAUUUAUUUUAAUCAAUAUUAUUGGGCGUGAGAACUUAAUAUGAUUUUGAGAAUAUGGAUAAUUAGAGAAUUUGAAGACGUUAGGAUAUUUCUUAAGCUCUAGGCUCUAUUGUUCAGUAUUCAGUUUUUAAAACACAAUAAUACAUAUACUUAAUAUAUUAUAUAAGAUUAGAGGUAUGUGUUAUAUUAUUUUUAUCUGAAUGUUUACAAUAAUUGGUUGAGUGAAAAAAAAGUAUUUGUUGGCGCCUCAUUAUUUUCCAAAUCAAAAUUGAAGUGCGUAUCCUACAAUGUGGUGGGAUCCUCGAGAUUAUCAACUCUAAGUCGAAAUAUUCAAUUUCCUGACUCAAAUGGCAACGAUACUCGAUAUAGGGUAGAUGAAUCGAUUUUCACAGGGUAUUCACCCAACUUUUAUAUAAGUUGGUCAAGUACCUUCAGAACUCAAAUAUCUGCUUGAUUGAUAAAAUAUUCAAUUUGAAUAAGGGCCACUUUGACUGCCAAGUAUACCCAUCCGACGUUUAUUUUGUGUGGUUUUCUUGCAGCAAACCGGGAUCAUUUCCGGGGUGGCCACACAUUUUUAUUUUUUUUGCCAGAUUCGGUCCUGGUCGUCUUUUAUUCGUCUCAUGUACCCGACUGAUCAAGAUUAGUACUUACUUACUUGUUUCUCUUUUCCUUCUUUCUCUGGAAACCCGCAUUCUCGUGGUUUUAUUCCUGUCUUCGUUUCUAUCGGUGGUGUUUUCAUGGCGUUUUUUUUUAGCUGCGCCUGUUCUUAUUGUUGGGGUUAGACACGGCGUAACCCCAUCUGGGACGGCUCCCUUUACGGUAUCUCCCCUCGAAUUCUCGCUUGGCUCGUCGCUCGAAUCGUCUUUUCGCCGAUCGUCAGCUACCGCUCGCGUUCCCGAACCGGCAGAGCGCGGGUGCCUCGCUUCCCUCGGCGCCCGCCACCCCUAGACGGCUGCCGGAUGGGCAGAUUUGUACAGCGCGUUCCUCGCCGCCGCGGCGGUAUGCUGAUUCUGUUUCGUAUUUUCUCGCCACGCGGCCGCCGUUCGCGUGCCUUGAAUCUCUGGACGCGUUCCUCCAUUUCACCGUCGCGUUUCUCCCGAACCGCUCUAUUCUCCUUUCGCUCCCCCGGCGACCCGUCCACCACUCGCACGUGCCCCCUACGGCGCUCCUCGGCGCCCCGGCCGGGGAGGCGAACCCCGCGUGCCGGCUGACCGGAGCUGCUGCGACGCCGAGUGGUGAUAGUGUUCAUAUCUUUGAGGGACGUCCGUUGCCGGUUGUGAGUGUUAGUCUGAAGCUUUAGAUAUAUAAUCUUUGGGGUAUACUGGCUGUGUGAGUCGAGUCCGGAGCACAUCUUAUUGUCAGACACUCUACUCGGUUGUUUCCCAGGUCUUAUAUUAUCCAUCGGAGUCAGAUGAGAUAGAUGUAGUUAGGACCCAUAUGUGGUUCUUGUAGUUGGUUCUACUUAGCUAUUCCUGCAUUAGUCCGUGUAUGCCGCAUGUGUUGUGAGUGUGUGUGAGGGUUUCCUGUGAUUUUAGUGUGGAAAGCUCGCGGUUGAUCACCUAUGUGAACGUUUAUUCUGUGGCAUGUUCUCUGUAUCUGGUGAGCUGAGAGGUAGAUCUGUAUAUAGGUCGGGUCGUGGCUGUUUCCGCGAAUCGCAGCAUCUCUCUUUUGUUUUGGGAGUUCGUUUGGGGAAGGCUGCCGUCACCAGGUAGGGAGUUCUGAGGGAGUACCUGGAGUGAUUGGAUUCCGCGACUAGAGAACGAACUGGGUCGACUGGGGUUAGUCUUUAGAAUAUUACUCAGCAUGGACUUGUGACCGGAUUUUAUGCAUAUAUAACAGAUGAGUUGAUCUCAGGUUGGGAUCAGUUAUCGGUCAUCAAAUUACUGUGGUUUAGGACUGGUUUGAGUUCUGUUCAUCCCAGCUUGACGUUAUUAAGUCAGUAUUUGCAUAUGGUUGACGGAUGAUUGUCGAUGCUUCCGCGUGUCCAUCCUAGUUGACCCUGAGGGGUGCCGGUCGUGGUGUGCUUCUUACAAGUGGAACCUAUGGGGCGGGCAGAUAGGCUUCUGAUGGGGGGGGCAAUAAAAAAAGGAGGAUGUGAUCAGCUUGGGUUGCCCCGACCGGGUGAUCUUGACCAUAUUGCAAUGAAAUCACCCGAUAAUCAGUCGGCCAUUUCACGGAACACUGGGCGGCCUUUUCAAAAGGUCCACCGGCGAAGGACGUGUUACUUUUUCGAAACCAUCGCGUUGAUGGCCCCGAGGAUGACAACCAGGGUGUAGCCCUAGAGGCGUUAUAUGCAGGUGUAGGAGCGUGGUGGUUUGACUGUCGGGGGUGCUUGCGGUGCGGACUCCUAGGCAUGGCUUAGAGGUCUGCCGUUCUGCUGACGCAACGAAGCAUUGGUUUCACGAUUGUGGAAUUUACACAUGUACUUUUAGGACCCAUUUAUUCCGUGCUUGAUACGACCAUGACGGCAAUAUGUCCUAUAGUACGCAUCAUAUGCAUGCAUUUACUUAACACGUUCUUAUACUGUUUUAAUGUUCGUCUUGCUCCUAUUAUUUUAGACUGUUUCAUGAUUACGAUGCUUUAUCGUACAACGCUUCNNNNNNNNNNNNNNNNNNNNNNNNNUCGAAAUUAUUUCAGCGGUUGAUAUUAUCGCUCGUUCGAAUUUGGUCCGAAAAAGCUUGAAAACUCGAAAAUAUUAUAUAGGCUGGGGUACUUUAUAUGUUAUGAGUAUAGCCUUGUACUAUAAAUUUUUAACCGUUGAUUGAGGAUGGUAGUUAGGAUGAUUGGUGGUUCCCACAAUUAGAUAUGCAGAUGGUCCCUGGGUUGAGUGGGGUAGUUGGUUAAAUAGUAUUGUCUAACGGAUGAAAAUGAUUAUGAAAUAAAUCUUAAAGGGAUCGAAUACUUAUGAGUAUAAGGAGCAAUACUAUAAAAGAUAAUAUAGGAUCAUAUAUUAAUAAAUAAUAAAAUAAAAAAUAAAAAUUAAUACAAAAAAUAUAAAAAAUAUAAUAUAAAUAUAAUAAUAUAUAUAUAUAUAUAUAAAUUUUAAUGUAUUUUUAUUUAUUAUUAGGUUUAAUUUAAUUUGGGCAUUUAUUGUUGCAAAUAAAUAAACACAACAAGUACAAUCGAAAUCAAUUUGAGCCCAAUUCUAAAUUUACAUAAACACUAUUUUUCAGACUUUAAAUAUUGAACAAUAACCCAUAAUUAAAACAUUGAGAUAAUUAAAAUUUUUCAAAUCCUACUUUUUUUCUUCUUCUCAACAAGAACCUAUCUAGUCAGAGAAAUCACAAAUAGUACAUUUUUAUAUUGAUUUUGUUAUUUUUGCUAUUGGACAUGAUAUGUAUAAAAAAUUAUAGAUAAUGUUCUACCAAAAUAAUAACUAAUGUUAAUAUAGAUGUCGAGAAUUAAUCCAAUCGGAAUCUAGAUAAGAGUCUACGAGAUAAGCAUAGAACUCAGAAAUAUAGCUCGCUCAAGAGUCGGUUGAAUAAUUUCAAGCCAGAGCUGAGCUAGAUUUGUAGGCUACGAAAUAAUUUCAGACAGAAUAAAUUGAAAGCUAAUAAGACUCGCCAGAGCUAGCUAGUUCCACUACAUUUAAGGACCAGUUGUAAGAAUUGUCUCAAUAUUUUUAUUUCUAAUUAAAAACCAAAAAGGGUUGGAUAAAACUUUUUUGCCAAUAAAGGAUUGAAGAAAAUGCGAAUAAGAUUACAGGUACCUAGAGUUGCAAAGUUUAAUUGUAAAUAUUACAAUAUUAAUUAUCAGAUAGUAUCCAGAAUCUUGAAUUUUUGAAUAGAUUAUUUAUUUAAUGUCGAAUUAGCAUGUUUGGUUUUGAAUAAUGUAUGUAUGCUGAAUUGAAUUAUAUAAAUAUAUUAUAUAUAUACAUUACAGUUAUAAAAUUAAGUAAAUUUUGAACAAACCAAGUUAAUUAAUCCAAAAUAUUCUUAUAUUUGGCAAAAUUUUUUCUUGUUGUAUUACAAAUAAUAAUUUUUUUACUAAUUAUAUUUAAAAUAAUUUAAAUUUUAAAUUAACAUUUAAAUAUUUGAAAUUUUAAAUAUGAACUAAAAAAACGAUGAAAUAUUAAUAAUUUAAAAUUCAAAAUUUAAAAUUUAAAAUUUAAAAUAUAAAUAUAAAUAUAAAUAUAAAUUUUAAAUUUUAAAAUGUAAAUUUAAAAUUCAGAAUUUAAAAUCUAAAUUUGAAGUUUAAAGUUUAAAAUUCAAAAUUUAAAAUUUUAAUUUUAAAUUUAAAAUUUGAAAUUUGAAACAUAAACUUGAAAUUAAAAACUUUAAAAAUGUAAAAUUUAAAAUUUAGAAAUUAAAAUUUAAAAUUAGAAAUUUAAGAUUUAAAAUUUAAAAUGUAAGAUCUCAAAUUUAAAAUUUGAAAUUUAAAACUUAUAUUCUAAAAUCUAAAAUUUGAUAUUUAAAAUUUAAAAUUUAAAUUUUAAAUUUUAAAAAUAAAAAAUAAAAAUUUAAAUUUAAAUUUAAAAAUAAAAAAAUUAAUAAUUUAAAAUUUAAAUUAAAAUUUUAAAAAUGACGUAUUGAAAAGGUUUGGGAGUUCGUAGGGGGAUAAACUUAUAAUUUUACAAACAUACAAGAAAACCUGCCAUCAGUAAUACCAUGUUCUCACCCCCCACUCGGUAAUAUUUUCGGUGUAAAUGUGUAAUCUUGUAUAAUUUAUAAUGCUAAAUUACUGACUAGAUUACACAUUGAAUGAACCAAAUGUAAUAAACUUUGCAAAAUUACUUGUAAUUCUGUUAGCAUAACUCGAAUCAAACACACCCUAAAAGUAAAGAUAUAGCGAUAUCCCUUUACCAUAAGUAAUGCUAUAUAUACACACCAAUCAGGGUGUAUAUUUUACGUCUCACCCAUCUAAUAGAUGUGAUGAUUUUACUAGUCACUUGACGUGAGUAGCGAUUCAUUCCCACCCAUUAGAUGAGUGGAUUGUAACUUGUACGAGUAUCAUUUUUCUUUAACUAUUUGUUAGUUUGGAGCACGUUUCUCAACUUCAAUUUUAUUUUAAUUGACACCUCUUUUUAUUUUUUUUAUUUGAGUUAUUCUAGUCACUUUUAAGCUAUAUAUAUUUAAUUAAAUGUAAUAGCUCUAUUAACUAUUACUUGUUAAUUUAAACAAAUUCAUUAAAUUUAGGGUACCAUUUGAUUCAAAAUAGGAAUUAAAAUCGUAAAAUGAGAAUGGAUCGUAAUUGAAAACGAAAUGGUGACAAUUCCUAAUUUGUUUGAUUCAUAAUAACAAUUGGAAUCGGACUUAUAUUUAAAUUAAAAUUUAAAAAUUAAAUUUUAGUUAAAGUUUAACAAAUUAAAAUUUAAAAAUUAAAUUUUAGUUAAAGUUUAACAAAUUAAAAUUUAAAAAUUAAAUUUUAGUUAAAAUUUAAAUUUACUAUCAAGAUUUAAUAUUAAACAUCGAAUCUACAAUUCAAAUUCAAGUUCAAAGUCUAAAUUUAAAUUUAGAACCAAAUUUAAAUAUUAUAAUUGAAAUUUAAAACUAAAUUCAAACCCACAAUUCAAAUUCAGUUUUAAAAAUUAUAAUUUAUUUAUAAAAGUAGAUAUAUAUUAAUAUCUGAAUUUAAAUAAUUGUUGGUGAAAAAAAAAUUUGUUGCUCAAUUAUUUUCCAAAUCAAAAUUGAUUCGUACCUCAAUGGCGAGAAUCAUUAUGGAAAUAUUCAAUUUCCUGACCUCAAACAAAACUCCGAUAUAGAAAUGAAUCAUCCCAAAUAUUCAUUAUAAGGUUCAAGUCCUUCAAAUCAAAUAUGCUUAAUUGAUAAAAAUAUUCAAUUUAAAAAGGCCAAUUUGCAUAAAAAAUCCACUUAUUUUGGGCUUUUGCAAAACCGGGCCACAAUUUUCAUUUUUGCAGAUUCGGUCCGCUUUUUCGUCUGCCUGACCAAAAUACUCUUAUUACUUUUUCUCUUUCCUCUUUCUCUCUCCUCUCUGUUUCUAUCGUUCUGUUUUUUUUUCUCGCCGCGCUCGCCGUUCUCCCUCGAAUCCUCCUGCGUCGUCCCCAUCACCGUCGCGUUCCCGAACCGCACCCUCCUCGCUCCCCUCGGCGACCCGCACCCUGACCGCUCCACAGGCGCUCCUCCCGCCGCGCGGGCGUAUUCUGUUUUUUUCUAUCCGGCCUGUCGAGUCUAUCUCUAUCUCGCUGUCCGUCCCUAUCCUUCGCGUAUCCGAUACCCACAUCUCCCCGCCGGCGACCCGCACCCGUCGACGGCCCCCUACGCGCUUCCUUGCGCCGCGUGAGUUGCCGAGCACCCGCGCCGCGCGGAGACGCCUUGUAUAAGUCGAGUUGGCGGCGUUACGGCGUUGACAGGAGGUGCAUUCUGAUCGCACGGUGAUGGGACGGUCCAGAGUUGAUGGCGAAACGACGAGCCGCGGCUAGGAAAAAAAAUAAGACGAGCUAGAAUUUCACCAUUAACCGAUUACAUUGUCAACCAUUACCAUUACACUUUUACACCAUUAUAUUACACCAGUACACCAUUACCUUUUCACAUUACCCAUUACUAUUACAGUCAUUACACAUUUUACACCAUUACCAUUACACCUAUUAUUAACAUAUUACACCAUAACGAUUACCUCAUACACUAAUUACAUUGCCAAUUGACAUCCAUACUAUUACACCUAUUACCCAUUACAUUCUUAUACUAUUUCCCAUUACACCAUUACACUUACACAUUACACAUUACACAUUACACAUUUCGACUGUAGAAGAACACGCCGCGAUCUUUUUCAUUUCUUUUCUUUUUUCAUUUCUCUUCUUUUCCUCCUGCGGAGGACCUUCAUCUCCUUUCGAUUCACCUGAUGACGAGGGGCCCCUUCGCCGCCGCCUCGAGUGUGCGCACGGGCGGGUCGGCGAUGCUUCGUCGGACAGGAUGACGUUUAACACGCCUCAUCCUCGGCGGAGUCGCGUAACGACAAGCCCAGCAUCCCAUGUCUCGCUGCAAGUAAUUGUUCGAAUCUCGUCGGAUGGUGAGGGCUGCUCGGAGUGGUGCCCGCUGUUGACUCGGGUUUCGCCGCGACUGCAUCUGAUUUGUGACGAGCGCGAGCGGGCGACUGAGCGAGAAGUCGCAAGCUGGCCAGACUAUGCCCCAACCCAGUUCCUCAAGACGCUCAUUCUCCUCCACCAACGCUGUCGCUCCUCCUACGUUGGCGGCGGCGGCGGCGAAGGCGGUAGGGGUGGGGCCGAGGACGAGGAGGCGAGGGGGAGAGGGGGAGUCGGUCUAGGGCUGGGGUCCGCGGCGACGGGAUCGACGAAAGGAGGAGAAAAAAAAGAGGAGAGAGAAAAAUAUAAGGGUAUUUUGGUCAGUUUGCUGAAAAAGUGGACCGAAUCUGCAAAAACGAAAAAGGUGGCCCGGUUUUGCAAAAACCCAAAAUAAGUGGAUUUUUUAUGCAAAAAGGCCAUUUAAAAAAUCUAAAGUAAAAAAGAAGAAUAUUGAAUAGAGGGCCUAGUUGAGGAGGUCUAUUUAUAUUAGUUACUUUUUUAAAAAAAUUUUUCAGUUUUCGGCCCCAUGUGAAAAGUGAGGACUUUUAUAAAAAAUAAUCAUCUAAAAUUGUAUAAUUUGCGAAAUAACCAUAUCAAAUUCAGAUUUGGCAAACUAACUCUUGAAACACGGUGAAUCAUUCACCGCAUUCUAAAAGUCUCUAAGAUUUUUAAAGGCAGUGAAUCGUUCACCGCAUUCAUUUCGCAUUCAUUAAAACGGUGAAACGUCUUCUUCAUAAUUUUUUUAGGAAAGAGAAAAAAAUGAGGUUGUUAAAAUUGUACGUAUAUUGUACGUAUGUAAAUAAAAAAAAAAAGUAAGAUUGUUAGGAUUGUAUGUGAAAUAUUAGAAUAUUUGUUUGAUUGUGUUGAUGCCAAAAAAUCAACACGCCGACCUAACCCACGUAUAAGUCAAAGAAAUAAGGACACGUGAUACACCAAGAGUCGGCAAUAAAGCGCCUGAAGGUCAAGAGCGUUUAAAGGUUAAGAGCGUUUAGACGAGAACGAUUGAGAAGUGGGGCGUAACUUCCAAGAGAAGUGGGGCGUAACUUCCAUGAUCAUGACUACACCACUUCCCCCACUACUAUAACCAAUAACCAACCAAUAAUGUGGGCUGAUAAGAUAUUAUAAAUAAUAACUUUGAAGUCUAUAAUAAGGGUCUUUCUCUCCUCUCCUUUGAACGAGAAGACCACCGCAUUUUCAAUACUUUUCUUUCCUACAUUUAUUAUUUUCUAGGAGUAGUUUACAUGUAAUCUUUUUUACCGGCAUUUAUUGUUUUCUUAAAAGUAGUUUUUAAGUUAGAUCUUUGGUGCGUGUUUGGUUCAAAGUUGGAGUCGGAGUCAGAAUCGGAAUCAAAAUAAGCUGAAAUCGGAAUCGAAAUGACUCAUUACCAAAUUCUGUUUGGUUCAUCACCUGAAUCGGAAUCGGAAUAAAUCAUUCCCAUUGUCGAUAUUUGAUUCAGGUGGAUAUAAAAAACGUAAUCAAAUUAAUAUAUUAACAUUAUCUUUAUAAUAUAUUAAUUUAAAUUCAAAUUAAAAAUUAAAUAUUAAAAAUUUAUAUCAAAAUUUUGAAAUAAUGUCAAAAUUUUAAAUCUAUUUUUUUUAGAAAAAAAUUAAACUUUGAAGUUGAGUGGAUAAUUCAAAUUAUAAAACUAAAAUUUGAUUUAUUCAAAUUUAAACUAAAAUUACAAUUUAAAUUUUAAUUUGAAUCCAUAAAUUUAAUUUAAGUUUGAAAUAAAAUUUGAAUAAAACUUUAUAUAAAUUAAAAUUUAAUUUAAAUUCAAAUUCAUAAGUUAGAUUCGAAAUACUUGAUUAAAUUUUAAUUUUUAAUUUAAGUUCAAAUUAAAAUUUAAAAUUAUAUAUUUAAUUUUUAAAUUUUAACUCAUAUUGUAAUUAAAAAAGUUGAAAAAAUAAAUUUAAUCCGAAUAAAUAUCCAUUCCAUCCGGCCUCCUAGGCCGGAUUGAAAAAUGAGGUGAUUGGGGGAUUCUCAUUCCACUCGGGAAUCGUAAUCGGAAUGAGACCCCCGCGUAUCAAACACCUACAAACGGAUUCACCUAUUCCGAUUCCGAUUCCGAUUCUAUGAUGAAAAAAAAGCGAACCAAACACGCCCUUGGAGUCUAUAUGCCCCACGGGCACACUCUGUUAUAAUUUAGAUUUUCAGAGUCUGUAUGCCUUUUGGGCACACUCUGUUUUGUAUGAGUUUUCAACUUUAUUUUAAUAUAUAAAGGUAUUCGGCUCUUUCAGCCGACCAGUUAUUGUAUAUUCCAUCUAUUCGGCUUAUCAGCCGACCCAAAGUACUAUACUAUCCAUACUUCCGGCUCAUCCAGCCGAACCGUUUCUACAGUAGAGGAUUCGAACUCUACUGAUCCGAUCGCUCAUUAGCCGAAUCGCUUGAUCCAGUCGAAGGGCGCAAACUUUGAGGAUCACUAAUCGUAGCCGCUCCGCAUCCCUACACGCUUCUCAAGAAAGAUCUUUUACCUGGUCAAAGACAAAGGGAAUUCGGCCCCUGACAGAUUGUUAGGAUUAUAUGGAUAGAUUAUUAGGAUUUUUUUGAUUGUUAGGAUUGUAUAGAUAUAUUAUUAGAAUUUUCAAAGUUGUUAAGAUUAUAUGUGAUAUUUGAUUAUUAGGAUUAUAUAGAUAGAUUAUUAUGAUUUCUUUGAAUGUUAGGAUUGUAUGGAUAAAUUGUUAGAAUUUUCAGGUUGAUAAGAUUAUAUGUGAUUUGUUGAAAUAUUUAUGUGGUUGUUAGGAUUAUACAUAAAAUAUAAAAAUAAACAGUAAAUAAGAUGAAUGAUUUACAGUUUUUGUGAGAAAUUAUAAAAACGGUGAAUUAUUUAUCGUCUUUUUGAAGACGGUGAAUCAUUCAUUAUGAAAAUAGCUCCCUUAAAAAAAAAAGGAUUAUUUUUCAAAUAUAAUUUUGGCCGAAUUAUACUGCAAAUAAUAAAAUUUUAGAGGCUAUUUUAUAAAAAAAAGUCUGAAAAGUGGAAAUGAGUACGUAGCUCUUGAAAUAAACGAAAAAGGUAAAGCUUGGGCGCCAAGUUUGCCCACCAGAAUAAGGAUAGAGCUGACACUACACAACUUGGCGAGAUGCAAAAUUAACCGUCAGAUCAGUAUUACGUACAAUUGGUAAUUUUUCUUUUCAAAAUUGAAAAUAAUUUUUAAAAAACAAAACAGAAAAUUUUUUUGAAGCAGAUAUUUGGAAAAUGAGAAUCGGCUGUGAUCUCGGCAGGGGGUGAUCAACAAAAUUACCGGUUCCCUACUUUAUAUUUUUGCUCUAAAUAUAAUCACCGAGUGCGCAUUAAUUACUUUAACACUUCCACAACUUUUCAUCUCUUUCUUUUUUCUUUUUUUUUUUUUUUAUUUUUUUUGUGUGUUUUGUACGCUUCUCUCUCUCUUUGAAAGGAGGCAUGUUCUCCGCGUCGCGCUCUUUCGUCUCGUCUCUUUCCUCCUCCCUCCGUCCUCGUGUGCUGAUGAGUACGAGACGCUUAGCAUCUUCUCCUCCUCCGCCGCCGCUUCCGGAAACGCGCUUCGCCCCGAAGAAGGCGAUUCGCGCGAUGAGCCUGAGCAAGUUCGUCGCCCACCAAACCGCGUUCGCCUUGCGCCUCGCGCAGCGCGUGGCCGCCGCCGAGGCGAAGGAGGGCGCCAACGUCGCGUUCUCGCCGCUCUCCCUCCACGCGCUCCUCAGCCUCGCCGCGGCGGGGACGCGGGGCCCCGCCCUCGACGAGCUCCUCGCCGUGCUCACCCCCGCGGGCGGCGCCGGCGGCGCCACCGCUGACGACGUCGCCGCCCUCGCCGCCCGCGUCGUCGGCCGCGUCCUCGCCGACGCCUCCGCCGGCGGUGGGCCCCGCGUCUCCUUCGCGAACGGGGUGUGGGUCGACGCCUCCCUCUCCCUCAAGGCCGCGUUCGCGGAGAUCGCCGCCUCCGCUUACAAGGCGGAGAUCCAAUCCGUCGAUUUCCAAACCAAGGUUCGAAUCCUCGCUUUUUUUUUUUUCCUUUUUCUUUUUCUUUUUCUUUUUGUUGUUCGUUUAUCGAGUUAUUAGGGUUUUUGUGGGGUUUUAGCUUGAAUAUGCAUGUCUUAGGGGGCUUGGAUCAACCUAAAAGAUUGUUAGUCUCGUAGGUAGAGAUAUGGUGACAACCAUAUAUGGUGUCUAUUUUAACAUGCCCCCCUAACAAAGUCGAAUUGAAUCUUAACUGAAUCUAGGUUGAAAUAGAAGCAGAAGAAACUAGAUUAGAAAUGGAAAAGGUUCUGAUGCUAUAUCAAAUCGCAAUCGCAAUCGCAGAGACCAAUCCAACAGCUUAAGUUCGCAGUGAACAAACCACUCUGACGUUGUGAAGAAGAUUCUAAGUUUUUGUUUUUAGUAUUCUAGAAUUUGAGUCAGCUGAACACUGGUGAAUAUGUCUCUCGUCCAGUUUUGUUAUAUAUCUUGCUAUAAAAUUCUCACUUCAUUCCAUGCAUGCUAAUUUUUCUCUAACUGAGCUUUUUCUUUCUUUCUUUCAUUUUUAUCCUUUAGCCGCCCCUCUAGUUAUCUAUCCUGAAUUUGGAAUGAUAAGGAAUUAGGGAUUCUGGGUAUUGAUUAAGCUGGAAUUAUAUUGAUUUUUUUGUUAGUCUCGGUUUUGCAAAUCAACUUCAAUAAAUAAUACUUAUCUAAUUUUUUAAAAGACAAAAAUAUUUCUUCUGCUGCUAAUUUUACUUAUCAGCGAAAUUGUUGACAGGUAAACCAGUGUUGCAGAUUCGGUUUUUUCUCCCUUUGUUUUAAGCCAAUCUUAACGCUGCUGUAUUUGUUUAUUAACUUUUUUCCUUUCCUAUUGAUUUAGGCUGGUGAAAUUAUCGAUCAAAUUAACUCAUGGGUUAGUUCGGCAACAAAUGGUCUUAUAAAGAGUAUGAUUUCCGGCAGAGCUAUCAACCAAUUCACUAGGGUGGUGCUCGGUAAUGCUAUUUACUUUAAAGGGGCUUGGGCUGAUAGAUUCGACGCAUCAGGAACGGAAGAUGGUGAGUUCCACUUGCUCAAUGGAAAUUCUGUGCGAGUGCCCUUCAUGACGAAUCCGGAAAUGCAGUUCAUGUCUUCAUACGAUGACUUCAAAGUGCUUAGGCUUCCGUAUAGAAAAGGGAAUGAUAGGAGACAAUUUUCCAUGUAUAUUUUCCUGCCCGACGAUCGAGAUGGGCUAUGGAGUUUAAUUGAUAAGUUGAGUUCCGAUCCCGAGUUCCUAAACCGCCAUCUCCCAAAGCGGGAGGUCAAAUUGGGAGAGUUCAGGAUUCCCAAAUUCAAAAUAUCUUGCGGGUUGGAUGCACCUCGACUUCUAGAAGAGAUGGGAGUACAUUUGCUCUUCUGUGGGGACGGGGGCCUGACUGAAAUAGCCGAUUCACCCAUCACCGGCGGAACAUCGAUUUUGCACAAAUCUUUCAUCGAAGUUAAUGAGGAAGGAACCGAAGCAGCUGCCGCUUCUUUCAUGAUGCUUGGGGCUUGUUUCUGGGCGCCUCCUCCGGACUUCGUUGCUGAUCACCCUUUCUUUUUCUUGAUCAGGGAGGACACAACCGAAGCGGUGCUAUUCAUGGGCCACGUGCUCGAUCCCUCAGUGGUCGCGUAAAUAAUGAAUCCGUUCUCAGGCAUUUGGUAGUUUAUUCCAUCUUUUGUUUUUUUUCUCCCCUGAAUCAACUCUUUGGAGUCCAAAAAAAAAAAAUGUAUGCGAGACGCUUUAAGUGCAACUUUAUAGGUGUGUUUUUACAGUCGUUUGUGAGUGGUAAGGAAUAUUUCUCUUUGGUGCUGCUGGCGUUACUGUUUUGAUUAUUAUUAGAGCGCGUUUGAUUAUCCGAAAGUGGCAGAAGUGAUUUUUUUUUUUUUUUUUUUUUCAAUUCCAUUAUUUGGUUAGCUAUAAAGUGAAACAUGAAAACUAUAAUUUUAUAAUUUUGAUUCUUUAAACAAAUAACUUAUACUUACAAUUUAAAUUAAAAAUUUAAAUUUAGAAUUUAAAAUUUUAUUCUUAAAAUUAAAUUUAAACUUAAACUGAGUUGAAUUUAUAAAUAAAAUUUAAGAACAUUUAUUCAAAUUUUAAUUCAUAAUUUAAAUUUAUAAUUUGAGUCUUAGUUUAAUUUACUUUUUAAUCUCAAAAAAUUUUGUAUUCAAAUAUGAAUUCACAAAUUAAAAUUUGAGUUUAAAUCACAAGAAUUGAAUAUUUGAAUUCAUAAUUCAAAUUCAAAGUUCAAGCUGCGAUCAAUAUUGAAAUUAAAUAUAAAUAGCAAAUUUUAAUUUUAAUUUCCACUUAAAAAUAAAAUUUUAAAUUUAAAUUUCAGUCAAUAAUCUAAAUUUAUAAUUAGAACAAUUUGAAUUCAAUGUUCAAAUUGAAGUUUUUAGCAGAAAAUAAUCUGAUUAAAAUUUAAAUUUUAAAUUAAAUUUAAAUUAUAGAAUUCAAAUUUGAAUUAAAAAUAAAUAUUUAAAUAUUUAAAUUUAAAUAUAAAGUCAUAAAUUUGAAAUUAAAAAUUUUAUGUUGAAUUUGAAUUUACAAAUAAAUUCAGAAUGUGAUCUAAAUUUAAAUUCUAGAAUUCAAAUUUAAAUAAAAAUAAAAAUUUAAAUAUUUAAAUUUAAAUAUAAAGUCACAAAUUUGAAUUUAAAAAGUUUUUUGUUAAAUUUGAAUUUACAAAUAAAGUUUAGAAUGCGAUCAUGAUUUUAAUUCAAAUUUAAAGUAAAAUUCAUAUUUAAAAUAAAAUUCAAAGAUUAACGUUAAGACCAAAUACAUUCUUUUAGCUAAACUUUCUAAUUUCGGUGACUUUUGAUGUCACGCCCCGGAUUGCACGAAGCAAUAGCUGUACCUGUAAACAAAACCAAGCUACAACCACAAGUAUGGAGCUGCUAAGCAAAACAAAUAUAUAUAAAACAUCAUGACUAUAGUACAUACAAAAGCUACGAACCAGCAACUAACAUCUCGCUCCAGUGAGUAACUAAACAAAGAGCAUGUACAUGUACAACACUCAUAACUACCUCUGAAGGGGCACUCCGCUAGCACGACGACUGAGAUUGAUAGGGAUCUAGCUCGCAACUCCCUUAUCAUGAUCAGUAUUAGCAACAGCAGCAGCCGUAGACGAAGGCUCUGCAAAAAGAGAUCAACAACUUGGUGUGAGAAUUACUACAAAAGAAAUAGUCCUCAAUGGGUAGCGCUACCGACCUCAACGGCUCACCCACUAAGUCUACAGAAAAUAUGCUCAAGGAUAGUAAAGGAAGCUGGAAAAACUCUACAGCUACAUGCCACUAUACUAUUGCUAACCAACACUAGCUAUCUAUAGAUAUAGGCAAGAUGCAAUCUCUGACCCAAUCUCACUAGGAACUGUGAAUACACCCGUCCCGCCUGUCGAAGCUACACCAACUACCACCACGCUGGGUUGUUGGUGGCGAGCAAGUCCAACUUAGACAUUACGUCAACAACGCAAAAGCACUAAGCCCGACUCCAGAGCGGCACUCGUGGGCGCUACCCAACUGAGUAUGCAAGCGUGUUUCUGCCAAGUUCAAUCAGGCUCUCACAGGCUAUAAUCAAAACAAAUAGGUUUAACUGGUCUACAACCAAAACUCACGUGCCCUUGACAAUAUCUGAUGCAAAUACAGAAAUCUGGGUCCACCGUCAACCGCGACGGCACUUGACAGUCCGAAACAAUCUACACACUAUUGUAAAAUAAGCUCGACAUCCCAGCACGAGCGUGAAUUCAUCCUACACUAAUUUGAGUAUCCAUUGCAUACUAACAAUGAUGAUACAAUAGAACCACAGAUCCUAAAGCUAAAUCUGGUAAUUUUCAGAAAUGACAGUGUAGGUUCUAAAUAUUUUCUCCUAAGUCAAUUCCAAGUCCAACAUGUAAAAUUAAACUACUAGCUUAACUCCAAAUUCAGAUUUAAACACUAAUCCAUGAAUUUGAUACUAGCAAGAAAAAUAGACGGAUAAUACAUGUCGACAAAUACUAAAACUUAGAAGAUAUUCCGACGAUUUCGGUAAACUUCAACCCACCUUAAAAUGCUCGUCCAACAACGGCGAGAAGUCGAAAGGAGAGGAAAUCCCGCGCUCGCCCGACCUCCAACGGCGCUACCACGACGCACGCACGCUCGAACGGCUCUCCGGCGCAACGUCGACAUCGAUCCGAGCUCUAACCGUGGCCUCCACCAAGCACAUAACUAAAGCUAGAGAGAGAGAGGAAAAUGAUAAUUAAGCUCCUUCAUUGCCUCUCUAUCCUAAUUAAAGCGGUGGGGAUAAAAUUGAAAGGAUCGAGACAACAAAAGACCAAAAGGCCCCUCACCUACUCAAACAUCCAGUUGGAGUACCGGUACCAGCCCGAUGCCGUACCGGUACUCAGCAUCAAUUAUCGCAACCCGAGAGCAGCAGUUCGAAAAUUACACUGGGGUAUCGGUACUCCCCUACGUGGUACUGGUACUCAAUACUGAAAAUCUGCACUUUGCCGAUUUCAAUGCCAAAACUCUGUUAUCGCGUCGCGCUGAGUUCGUUUUGUGUCCAUUUCGUGCCAAAACGACUCGGACUUGUCCCGACACUCUCCAGAUAUGUCGACAAGUCUCUGCUCCUUUCUCCACAAUCAAUGCCCGAUUCACCACCUCCCUAUAAGUCGAUGGGUUUGACGCCUGAACCAACCUGAAAAUCGUAGGUCGCAAACCUACCUCGAAAAUACGGGCCUUAUCCCCAUCAUCCCUAACCACGAAAGGAACACAAUGUAGUAGUUGAGAAAACUAUCGUUCAUACUCAACCACUGUCCUAUCCUCCUGCCUCCAAUUUCUCAGAUCCCUCUCUAUCUGUCUCUUUACACUCUGUGGAAAGUAAGUUGUCAACAGUAAU
rnacentral:lncRNA from 1 species